rnacentral:lncRNA from 1 species
UUUUUUUUUUUUUUUUUUGUAAUUUCUCUCCCUUCUAAGUUCUAUUAUUUCGCCAAUUGUGUUGACAAUUUGGUGACUUUUACUAAAACUAUGGGUGUGCUUUAAUAAGUAAUAUUACAAAACAAUAUUAAUUGGUUGUGUUUGGAUUGCAUUUUUCAUGAUUUUUCUUGGAAAAAUUACUGUAGCGAUUUGAUGUAUGUGAGGGAAAAAUGUAAUAGGGAAAUGUGAUCACGGAAAACGAUAUAAUUUUCCGAAGAAAAACCCCAAUCCAAACAAAUGACUUGAGCAGUGAGUUGAAAUUGGGUUGUGAAAUACGAUUGUUGCUUGAUUUGUAUCCAAGAAUCCCCCCCCCCCACCCCCACAGUUUUUCAAAAACAAAAAAAAAGGGAAAAAGAGAAUGACCCCACAAAAUUGCUUUUGUAAAAUAGCAGCACGAUUAACUCUUUUCCACGUGUGUAGCUCUAUUUGGAAUUCCUUCGAAAGAGCUCAGUUCUUUAGCUCAUAAUAGCUAAUGAUAAAAUAAAAAAAAAAAAAAAAUUCUUUGGGAGAAUGGGGCCUUCGGGAGAAGAGAAUAAAGUAAUACGAUGUAUGUAAAGCAUAAAAGUAAAUAAAGAAUUAUUCGAAUAAUUAAAAAAUAUGUUCAUAGCAAAUUCAAAUUUGAUGGUUCAUGAACCCUUGUUUAAAUUGUAUCGAAUCUCUUAGAAAAAUUUUUAGGUUUUCUGAAUAUGUUUUCUUAACACAUUUCUUGUCAACGGAUGUAUCUCAUUUGCAUCGCCACGUCCAUAUAGGAUUCCAAAAAUACAACAUAUAUUAACAAAGAAAAAUAUCUCCUUCCUUUGUCUUCUCUUUUACUACUUGACUUGAGUUCAUCAUCGCAACGGUCUGUCACUGUUACGAGCAUAAUUCUUACAGCAAUUUGAAUUUUGUUGUAAUCAUUUAAAAUUUGAAGAUAUAUAAACAAAUCCGAGGAUUGACCAAGUCAAAGAGGCCAGCGGUGAAAGCACCCAGCACUGCUGCACCAGAUCACAACCACAACAACCGAAAAUCCCACCUCCCCCCCUCCUCCCAAAAACUCCCCCCACUUCCCACUUUACUCGCUUUGAAAUGUGAAAAAAGAACCGGGAAAAAAUUAUUAAAAAAAAAAAAAAACCGCCCACACACACAGAGGACCCUCUCAACUUCCAAGAGCGGGAGUGGGUCUGGAAACCGUUUCAAAAGACAAAAUUCACACACAGAGCCUAGACUCAUGUCUGAUACAGUACAGCUUUAAUGGGCCCCCACUCAAUUUAAUUCGGGGGCCCCAGUACGGAUUCAACCUCCACGUCUUUUUCCAUUUCCUUUUUCCGCCACCUUCCUCCAUCUCGUUCGUUCUGUUCGAUCCCCUCUCCUUCACGCCGAAGCUACCCCUUCAAUAAAUUUCAUGUUACCAUCUCAUACAGUGAUGGUGACCUCCACCCUUUUUCAUGUCUUUUUUCUAAUAAAAAAUUGAACCACUCUGGCAAAGAUGGGCUUUACCAGCAAGUAUUAAUUACAUCAAGAGUCUUGAAUCUCUUUCCGACUUUCUUUAUUAUUAUUAUAUAUAAUGUAAUGUAAUAUAUUACCUGAAAUAAUGAGUUAACAAUUUGCAUUUUUUGCCUUCUUUUCUGUCAUAUGAAUAAGAAAGCAAUUUAUCCUUUGGUUUCAACAAGAAGUUACGUCUAUUGAGUAGACCACUAGACAGGGUUCAUACAAAGCCAGCGAUAUUUAUAUAUUAUACUCAGUACGUACGCACCACUUGCAAGCCAUAGCUGUUGUUGGAAGAGCAAAAUUUUGCUGCAAAAAGUUUGGAAGGAGAGAAACACUUGCCAUGAUUUCUUAUUAGUAGAAGAUCACGAAUGAGUAGCAGAGUAUAAUAUAAGAACAUGAAGGGAGAGGGGCUACUUCUACGGAUAGCAAACCUCCAAAUACACACUCGGACGAAAAGACAAAAACACUUUUCCAACCCCAAGGUUACUUCCUACUGACUGCCCGUUCAUUCAUUUUCUACCCCUUUCAUUAUUGCAAAAGCAAAAAAACCACCCUCCUCUUUCAUUCUUCCACCGUAAAAUUUCCCUAUACUAGCACAAAAACAAAAAAAAAAAGACGCAUUCCUUAUUUUUUCCAAGCUACUACUAGUAUAUAAUCUUCUUUUACCUAAAAUACAUAUAUAUAUAUAUAUGGUAAUUCUUCAAAUAAAUUAAAACCAUAACUUCUUCUUCUUCUUCUUCCUCCUCCUCCUCCUUUCGGCUUGAAUCAAAUGUUUUCCUCCUUCGCUACUACUCCUGACUGCUAUUUUAUUAUAAUAUCCUAAGCUCUCUAAAACUUUCCUCAUUUGCUGCAACAAAAAAGCACAUCCAUUUCAGUACGUCCAUUCCUGGGGCAGGCAUAUUUCAUGAUGGCUAAUCGAUCCUUCCGGGCAUAGACUUCUCUGCCUCUGUUGGGCCAACAACGCAUUUCUCCGGGCCAUCAAUGCAUCUAACAAACAGAGCCAUUGAAACUCCCAUUAUUAGCACCGACCGCCAAUGCACUUAAUCGUGUCUCUAUAGAUGGAUGUUAAAACAUAAAUUAAUACGUACCAAAAUCUCCCAUGAAGCCGGCGCUGUUCCGAGAUGAUGACUUUGGCUGAACGAUUUCAUUUAUGUCAUCCAAGUUCUUGUUUGAAAUCGGCGCCACCUUGUUCGGAACCCAGGCACAGCAACUACCUGUGCAAAACAAAUUGUUACAAAUUAAUAAAAAAGUUAGCAAGCCAGGAAAAGGUGUUGUAUACAUACUACUACUACUACUACUAGGUUUUCAAAGGUUUAAUUGAGUGGGUAACGAUCUGCGGAUUAAAGAAGAGGCAUUAAUGAAUGCUGGCCGAGUCGGCAACACAACGAUGUGCCAGAGCAGGCAGAUCACUUUUAGAUCUGAUGAAGGGUUUCAGUCAAAAGAAACAUUGAAGUAUUCUAUUAGGAUUACUGAUCCAUCCAACUCGAUCACACCCCACAUCCGGUCAUAAAACGACAUACUUUUUUAAAAGUGUAAAAAAAAAAUAACCUUCGGCUUUUUUCCCCCAUGGCUAUGCUAUUUUCCCUCCUCUGCAGGGGUCUGUGUACGAACUGGGAGAUGAACCCCCCCCCCCCAACUUAGGCACCCGCACCACCCACUGGCUAUUCUGAGAAUCCAGAGCGAGCUCGGCUUGAAACUCAAAAAAAUGCUACACAUUUAAAUCAGACUUGACAGUUACACUGGGACCAUCCCGAUUUAGACUCCACUAGUCCCCACCCACCCCCAACUGACGCCUAAUUCCUCCAUUUGCCACUUACCAUAAUACUUACUGAUUAAAAUAAACACACCGUUUCAUAUUCCUAGCCAAAUCUAAUCCCAUCCGCAUUAACGGGCCAAUAAAUUCCUCCAUGUGAACUGUAGAAGGCGACACAAAACGACAAGAUCCAAAAACAACACGAAAGAAAAUCCAGCUAGCCAAGUAACUAACGCAAAAUGGUUGGAGCCAAGCAAGUUCAGGCACAGAAAAGGUAGAGCCUCGGAGGUGUAAAUUACCCGGCUUCUUCCGAGCAUCAGAUGCUUUGAAGCUACUAGCACAAUUGCUAUCGUAUCUGCGAGGCAAAAAUACUCCGGUCCCAGAACGCUCCUUUUUCAAACCACCACCACCACCACAGCUGACCCCACCACCAGAUCCAUAACUGAAUCCAUACCCAUAUCCGCAGCCGGAGUAAAUGCCUCCUCCCACCUUCAUUCCCAACUCCCCCACAUAUUGCCGAUUUCUUUGAUGCUGACUAGGCCAUCCACAUGGAGCUUGACCCACACCCGCACCCAUUGCAUUCCCAUAACCCAUCCCACCACCAAUCCUUCCACCCAAGUUCUGCAAAACCUCCCGGGAGUCGUAACUCCACCCAUUUUUCGCAUGCCUGCUCCAUAUCCCGCCCGCGUCUUGCUUCACCUGCCCCAAGAAAAGAACAACAGAAAUUAGUUUUUAGCUAAAUCAAAUGCUAAAUCUUUAAUCGGUAUAAAACGAAAAGGUCUCAAAUUGGAAACGGGCGAUGAUAAUGCUUACCUGGUUGUGGUAAACGGUAGAAGGGGAGAAGUUUGUGGGCGGCGGAGGUGUGGGGAGGCGUCUGGGUGGGCCAAGAAGGCCUGGAUUUCUGGUGGGUCCGUCUCCGCUACCGUUCAUCUUAAGCCUUUCAACUUGACCUGCAGCUUGGUAAAUCAGAUCCCACGCGUCGUCGUUGACCCCCAGAGGCGUAGUUGGAGGGGAGGAGACUUGAGACGGUCCAUUUGGGCUUCCGUUGCUGGACAUGGUGCUCCGACCAGACCAACUCCCUACCUGGGUCAGCGUUGAUUGAGGUGAGCCGGACAGUACCCAAGCCUUCUGCAAAACCAAAAUUAAAAAAAAAAGAAAAAAUACAACACAGGACCGAGAAAUCAGAACAUGAACAAACCUAAAUCACUUUUUAAGCCCAAGUGAAGGAAAAGAAAAAAAAAUAAACAAAUACCUCAUGAUUUUUCUGCGCAGGGGUGAUUUUGUGGGCUUCGUGGAGAGCUAACUGGCGAGUUAACUCAGUAAGCAGCAAGUCAUCCUCGUCGCUCUCGGUUUCGGUGGAGCCAACAACAGAUUCAACAGGGGAGCUGAGAACAGAGGACCCAUAAUCGUAGGGAAACUCAGACGGAAAACAGAGUCCAACGGACUUAACACGGUUUUCUUUGUUGUCCAUGAGGAUAUCUUCGUCCGUAAGGAACUCAGAAGGCAGCCAAAACUCUGCUUCGUCAAGCUUAUCAGACAUAUCUUCUUUUUUUUCUCUUUAAAAGGUACAGAGACAAUAAAGAGUUGAGAAAGGAGAGUAUUAUCCUUCGUGGGAUGGUAAUGAUGCAAAAGGAGUGAGGAAUUGUUGCUGAUUCAAGAAGUUAUAAUAAUGAGUUGGGGAACAAGUAGUGAGUACAGAUUAUGCUGGGAAAUGGAGGCGGACGAAGAGGAAAUAGAGAGUGGGGGGACCCGGAGAGAAAGCCAAAGGUGGGGAAAAGGAAGAAUGUUGUGAAGAAGGGGAGGACAGAGGGAAGGAGGUGAGGUCGCCUUUUAUUAUUAGGGUUUCGGGAAGAUUUUUGAGACAAAACUCAAGAAACCCCGGUUCAAAAAUCAAAUAAUUUUGAAUUUUGUAUCUUUUGAGUGUUACUCCACUAUUUAUUUUAUUUUGUAGGAGGUUGUGUGCUUGUUUAUUUCAUUUAUUUUUUUGAGACAUACCGAAUACCCUAGCCCCCAAAAAAAAUACCGAAUACCAAUUAUUUUGUUUCCCACUUUUGUUACUUUUCACUUUAUGCCCUUAAAAAAAAUCUUUUAUAUACUACAGCACCUUAAAUUCCAUAUCCAUCCUAACUUGGCCGGGCACUUGAAUUUAUUCUUUGGGAUUGGGUAUUAUUAUCAAGACACGCACAAGUCGGCCGGAUAAAAAUCAUAUAACUAUAGAGAGUGUUUGGAUAUUCAAAUUAUCUCAAAUAAUAUUUUGCUUGCAUCAUAAAUAUAUUUCCCAACCUACCUUUUUAUAUUUCCAAUCACUUUUUUAUCUCACAUACAUCACAUCACAAAAAGUGCUACAGUAAUUAUUCCAAAUAAUAUUUCAAAUAAUACAAUAUCCAAACAAACCAAUAUUGGUUUAGGGUUUAGGGUUGGAAGGGUACCGACACUCUCAGCGUGUCUUGAUAGAAGAUUUGAAAAGUUUCAGAAUAUUUUGUCAUGUAAUAUUCGUAAGAUAUGAAAAGAAAAAACAAAAGAAAGCUCCUAUACUAUAGGACGUAUGAUUCAAAAAUAAAGUGAAAAUGACCCACCUUUUUCAUUUCAGAGAUUUUUUAUGUUUGUAUUAUUGUUCGUGUAUCAUGUCAUAAUUUUCAAUCAUUUUUUAUAGGAGAAUUCAAAAAAAAAUUGAAAGAUAAAAAGUUCAUUGAAAAACGCAAUUGCAAGCAAACAAAUAAUUGUUUUUCAAAAUAAUUACACAUCCAAACAUAUUCACCGGUCCAACUAGGACUCUUUCCGAAUGAAUAUUCAAGGUGCAAAUUUAUUAAUUUUUUUGAAAAAAAUCAGGCUCAAAGUGGAAACGGUUAAAAUGCAGGGGGACAGAGAAAGAAAAUUGUAGGAGUACGAGUUUUGUCCAUACGAAGAAAGAGAGUAACCGAGGAAGGAAGGAACGGAAAAAGCUUUGAAAGAGAAUGGGGCCCUCCUUAAUUCAUGCAACUAAUAGGAAUAGUGGCUGGCAUUAGUGGUUGGAGACAUUCGUCCUUCUCCCUAACCCACGUGCCACCUGGCACCAACGUCACCCGCAAUUACUUUUUUUAGUUUUUUAUUUACCGCCGCAGUGAAAACUCUCCAAACUGCUUUUUUAUUUUUCCCUCUCCAUCUCAGGUAAAUACUUUUUAACCAUUUUCGCGGUGAUUGUCCCUUUUGAGGCCCCACGGCCCUUCUCAAUCUUUCACUUGAUUGUUGCACUUUCCCAAAAACUCUAGCAUAAAAUGUCACAAUAUAUCUUCAAUUGCAUUAAUUGCCCUUCUUCAAUAUUUAUUCAAGUUUAAAUUUUAUUUGAACGAAAAUUGCCAUAAAGCUGUAUUUGCUGCUAACCCCUUUUGUUUUUUUUUGGGUUAUUUUCGGGGAAGAGUAUUAUCAAUUAACCUGGCACAAAUCGGCAUCUAACACUAAAAAGUUUGAAGGUUUGCUUUGGUUUAUUUCUUUUAUACGGUGGAAUUCAUGUAUGAUGAUUUUUCUUGUAACAGCCAAAGAUUGCUCAUAUAAAAAUUUUAAAAGUUUAUGUCCCACAAAAUUACAUAUUGAUGCUAAAUUGAGAGUAAAAGCAUGCAGCGGAUGCAUAAAAGGCCCCGAGAAAUGUAUUUGAAUAUUUAUUUUAGGGGUGGCAAUUUGGGUCCAAAUCAGGUUGGCAGGUCGGGUUCGGGUCAACCCGCCAGAAAAUCUGUUGACUCGAACCCGACCCGCCAACCCGUGACGGGUCAGGUAUGCUGACCCGAACCCGAAAAUUUCAGGUUGACGGGUUGGCGGGUCGACUCGAAAUGACCCGAAACUUAAUUUUAAUUUAUUAAUUUAUCAUUGUAAUUUCUAAUAAAAUCAAUUUCUCACAAAACUAAUUACAUAAUCAAAUAAUAAAAAUUUAAAUAAAUAAUUCCAAACCAAAUCUAAAAUAAAUUAAACACCGUAAAAGUGUUUUAUCCCAAACAAAAUAUAAAAUAAAUUAAAACAGUAUAAAAGUAAAAAAUAAUAUAAUAUAUUAUUUGUCCAAAUAUAAUAAUUUCAACUUCACACAAAUUAAAUAAAUUCAUUUAGGAUUAAGUAAUUAAUGCCUUUGAAAAAAAGAAUAACUUAGUUUAGUUAGAUAAAAUUAUUUUUAUGUUUAUUAAAUUAUUUUUAAUUCGUAAACGAGUCAUAACGGAUCAUAUCAGAUCAUCACGGGUUGACCCGAAAUUGACCUGUUUUCUUUUCGGGUUCAUCGGGUCCAACCCGAUUCUGACCCGAAUUCCCGAAAUCUCAACCCAAACCCAUUAAUUUCGUGUUAGGUUCGUGUCGUGUUUUCAUGUCACCCCUGAUUUAUUUGGAGUACGCGACCGCUUCUUCUUGUUGACUGACGCGUUUGAACUUGAACAUAUGCACAAGUGACAAGUCCUCUACCAAUUAGAUGUUGCUCUUUCAUACCAAAACGGCAAUCGGCUUAAAGAUAAAUAUCCUCCCGAGGAAAUCUUUUGAAGGGUUUGGCUGAACCACCAACCGAGUGAGUGCUCCUAAAUUUAGGGAACUAAAAAAAGAAACAUCAAAACCGCUAAUUGAGCUAGACUUGCAACGUUAGAAUGCCAAAAAUAAAAGAAUUAGCAUUUUUUUUAUUUGGAAAAAAUAUUUCGCAACAUUUCUAACUCACGUUUUUUGUUAUAUACAUACGAUUGUAAAUGAGACUAAUCAAAUUGAAUGCUUUAAUGUUUAAUAUUAUUUGAUUAUUUUAAUGAGUUUAAAAUUUUAUUUAAAAUUGAGUUGUUUAUUUUUGUCGAACCGAAAUUGAAUAAACUUUUUUAUUAAACUUGAAAGUUGUCUAAUAUAAAAUGCUGUUCAAUUUUUUUGUUUGGUUAAUUGAUGAAUCAAAUCCAAAUGAAAUCUUACCAAACCAAAUUCGAUUUGAAUAUCAAAUGUUAAAAGAGAGUGUAUUUAAAAAAGUGUACGAUGCAUGCAUACGUGCAUAUACACAUACACAAAACCAACAUUAAGGGACAAUUUCAAAAAACCUCUACUGAGAUGUGUGAAGAUAUCACUUGUCAUUCAUAAACUUUGAGAAAUAAUCAUCUAUCUUUUUAUUCUCUGCUUUUUGUAACUUCAACAACCCAAUGUAUUAUUAAACAAAUCUUUUUUUUUUUGGACGAGGAGAAUAAAGACUAACAGUGUGAAGUUGUAAUUCUACUAGGAUACAAUAUAGCUUUUAAGGUAUAAAAAUGAUCUUUGAGAGUGUGUUUAAGGUGUUUCAAAGUAAACAAAAAAAAAUCCACUACUAUUAUAAAAGGUGUUUGCAAUUUAUAAAGUUUAUAAAAUUUCUCAAAUUAAUUGCAAACACCUUAUAAAGUUUUAUGAACUUUUAAUUUUUGAAACUUUUUAAAUUAUUUGUAUAGAUCAAUAGCUUGAAAGUUAGAAAAAAUAUUUAAAACAAUGUUUAAAAACUCUUGUGAGAUGUUUUCAAGUACAAAAAAAGUUAUUUUCCUAUUGCAAAGUAUUUUUAGAUGAAUUUAAUGACUGUUAACUUUUUGUUCAAAUCGAUGACUUGAAAACAAGAAAAAGAUAAAAUUAUUAACUAACAUUUUAAAAAUUAUUUUAGGUGUUCUCAACAUGCAAAGAUUAUUUAUCUUCAUUGUAAAAAUUUUUUGGUGACUAUUAUGAUUUUUAAAAUUAUUUUCAUUUGCUAUCCAAAUCGUUGGCAUAAAAAACUAUAGUGGUAUUUCAAACUCGUUAAUAUAUUAUAAUUCUUCAAUAAUAUUAAGAGAUUAACUUUGUUUGUUAUGAAAAGUAAAGGGCAAUUUUAAAAUAGAAAUGUCUCAUCUUCCCCCAAAUGAGUUUUUAAAUCAUAUAUUUUUUGAAAUGAGUUGAAAAUGUUACAAAAUUUUAAAAAUAAGGGAGAUGGGUGAUUCUUUUCAAAAUUCAAGGCACCAAGUGAUAUUACUACAAACUUCGGGGAAGGUUUUUGAAAUUAUCGCCCAAGACUAAACCAAGUGAAUCAAUAUCUCACGAGCCGAAAAAAACAGCAAUAUCGUCACAAUACAGAUCAACCAGUCAAAUUAAUACUAGGCCUAUUUAGAUUGUUAGUUUUAGAAAUUUUUUGUAAAAGAAUAUAACAUAGCGAUUUGAUAUAUGUGAAGUAAAAAAUAAUUUAAAAAAUAUGUUAAUAAAAAAUAUAAAAUUUUUUAUGUGAAAAAUUACAAUUCAAACAAUGGCAUUAUUUUUUCGGUAUAACCAAAUGAGUAUUAGCAAAUGAAAAUUUUAAUCUCUUAACCUCCUUUCCUUAAAUGGGACUCACAUUCUUUAUCCAUUUAAAAUGAGUUGCCUGUUUUUCUCGUGAUGGGAACAUUCUUUUGAAAAUUACAGGAAGAAUUUUCAUACGAUUCGAGUGAAGUUGGAGAUUGUUGGAACCCACUUUUGUUUUUUAAUUGCAAUGGAGCAGUCGUUUGUAAGUACCCACAUAAAUACUACUAGUAAUUACCAGUCUUUGUGGACCCUGAUAAAGCUUGAACACCAUCAUUACCAACAUCUCCGAGGAUCAUCUUGUGAUGGGAAUGGUCAAACAUCCCCACAAUUGACUCACGGGGAGACCAUUUUCACAAAUCACCUCACUUCUCUGUUUGACACACAGGCAUCCAGCAUGACAAUACAAAUAUACAAUACAUGCGUUACAGUUAACCCCCAGGACUUUGUGUACAAUCGCGUUAUACUAGAAACUUGUGAAGAAAUUACCCAUUUUUUUCCCCCGGGUUUCAGUUUAUCAUUCUUCUACAUUUUUCCUGCUCAUUUUCUAUGGUUUAAUGCUCUACGCCUUAACACUCGCUCGGUCCGUCUCGCUGUUGAGAAGAGCACAUAAAUUUGAGAUUGGGCUAUAAACGCGUUGAUGAACAGAAUCUAAGACGCGGCUUCGAAACCAUAGUACAUCACCUGAUUAACGAUGCCAAAAAUAGUUAACGAUGAGUGGCUUGAAAUCCCUUGGAAAUUAAUGUCGGACAAUUUGUCUAUUAACAUGUGGUUUGUUUGUUUAAGAAGAGGAACUUUCUGAGAUUGUUAAAUAAUUUUCGUUCUUUUAUAUGAAAACAGAUAUGACAGAUAUGAGUAAAUUCUCAAAUAGUAUAGUAAUACUUUCCAAAUAAAGUUCUCAAAUACCGAGAUUUUGGGAUUAGCCGUUUGGAUUAAUUGUUUUUUAGGGUGUUUUUUAAAAAAUUUACUGUAGUAUAGUUUUUAGAGUAUAUUUUGAAAUAUUUUUUGAAAAUAUUUUGAAAUAUUUAAGAGUUGUUAAGUUUUUAAAAUAUAUAUUUGGAAUAUUUUCAAAUAUUAAAAAAAUUAGACUACUUUUUAGAGAACCCUUCAGAGUAUUUUUAAAAAUGUUUAUAGUAUUUGAAAAACAGAAUGAUCCAUUUUUCUAAAUAACAAAAGGAUCCAUAUUGUUUGGAUACUCUAUUUUUUAAAAUAACAUCUUGCUUAUAUCAAAAACGCAUUUUUUUACUCAUCUUUUAUAUUUUCAAUCAAUUUUUUAUCUCGUAUACAUCACAUCACAAAAAGUUCUAUAGUAAUUAUUCUAAAUAAUAUUUCAAAUAACUCUCUAUCCAAACAGAUCCCGUAGACACAAGGAUAGCAUUAGGGAGGGGUGCGAGGGGCCACCGCCUCCAAGUUCUCGAUAUUCAUAUAUUUUUUUCCUUAAAAUUUUAAAAAUAUGUUAAGCUUUUUGCCCCCAAAAUAUUUCAAAAGAUUAGUUGAUUCCAAGGUAUAUAUGCAUAUGUAUCUCCCUCUUGAAACUAAAAUUUCUAGUUUCAUUCCUACUCGGAGACACAAAAAUAUAAUAAUAAUAGAAUGCAUCUUUUGAAUUUCCCGGGUCUGUAAGAGUGAGAUGUUUUACAAAUACUUUAUUGUAAUAAUUUAUGUGAAAAAAAUUUAUAAUAAAUGACGAGGUCUUUUUUAGAAUAUUUCUGAGAAUGUAUUUUGAAAUAUUUUUAGAAUUUAAAAUUUUAGUGAAAUAUUUUUAAGAAUUCAGAAAACUUCACCACCACCAUCAUCCACUGCCAUCCACCACCACACCACCAUUGCCACCACUUCUUACCCUCCAUCUCUUCUUCUCUCCCCUUUCCCAUAGCCCACGUCUCCUUCCCUCCUUUCUAGUUGUAACUUGCAACAAGAUCUAGUCGCAGGUCGUGACAAAAAAGGGGCAAAGGGGAAGGAAGGAUGAGGGAGGUAGAAGGGGGAAGAAGAAUGGGAGGAAGAGAGAUAAUGGGGAGGAAGGGAAAAAGGGAUGAGAGAGGAGAGGAAAGAGAGUGAUAGGUGGAGGUGUCAACAGACGGGGGUGUAUGGGUUUGUUUGGAUAGAGAAUUAUUAGUCAAAAUUUAUUUGCUUACAUCAUCAUUACAAUUUCCAACCCACCUUUUUAUCUUUUCAAUUAUCUUUUUAUCUCACAUACAUCACAUCACAAAAAAUGCUACAGUAAAAAUAUCUCAAAUAAUUUACAAUCCAAACAGAGCCUAUGAUGGCUACCACUUUCAAGUGGUUGCCUUCGACGGAGUUCUCCAUAGGUUAGGCUCUUCCUUCAAUUUAUCCUAUAUUAGAUUAGAAUAGGUUAUAUUUAUCGUGACAAAAAAAAAAAAUGAUGGUGACGAUGGUUGAAAGAAGAAAGAGGAAAUAUGAUUUUUUUUAAUUAGGUGUAUUGAAAAUUUUGAAACGUUUUAAAAUUAUUUUCAUUUAUGUAUUAUUAUAAUAUUAUUUGUCAAAAAAGUCCAAUACAAACAGAUCAUUAUAUAAGUUAUCAUAGAAUAUCAUUUACUCGUCUGGCUUUUCCUAAAAUCAUGCGAGGCACAAUGGUUAAAUAGCAAAGAAAUCAUAAGCAAGAGCUAAUCUCGAAGAAAUUCUUUUUAUUUGGGGGGUCAAAAUUUAGAAAACUGUAUAUUCAAUUUGACGUUCCAGUUCAAAAUUUUAAAGUAACCCUAUCACAUAUUUUCCAUGACCCUCCCUACCCGAGACCUUAGCGAAAGCUAUGGUGAUAGUUUAAUGCGCCGUAUGCCUUCAAAUUUUUUUGAAAAGAUAUGCCUUCAAAUUCAAUACACGGUACCGAAUCGUCUACACAGAAUCGAGAAUCUCUUUAUUAGGCUUGUAUUACUAGUACUGUAGUUCUCCGUCAACUUUAACGGCUGUCCCCAUCAACGAAUUGUUGGCGUGACGUCGCAACCUCGCUUUGUAUUCAAAAAAGCUGCCGUCCUAGUCCUUCUAACGGCGGUUGUCCUCCGAAAGGCCAAUGUCAGCAGCGGCACCUCCCGGACGCAAAACCACCAUUUCAAUAAAGCUUAUAAAAAUUCCCGCCAAAUGGUAUAAAUAAGGAGAACUAAAAUAAUGUGGAGAUUUCAAUUUAAUACUAAAAAAGUUGCAGGUAGUAGAGAUGUGACGUUAAUGGUAGGGACUGCCGGACGGGACUUGCGUGAUCUGAGUAUCCGCGCCAAGUCUUGGCCCAGAGGUUAACCCAAAACCCAAAUUGGCGGGAACAAAUACUAAUUUUUCAAUUUAAAAAUGGGUCUGUUUGGAUUGUGAAUUAUUAGAGAUAUUUUUACUGUAGCACUUUUUGUGAUGUGAUGUAUGUGAGAUAAAAAGGUAAUUGGAAAGGUAAAAAGGUGUAUUGAAAAUUGUAAUGAUGAUGUAAGCAAAUAAAUUUUGAGAAAUAAAGCUCAAUCCAAACAAAGCCUCGUUUUACGACGACAGGAAAAAGGCACUACUACUACAAAUAACAGAGCACAAAUAGAUGCAGAACGGAGAGUUUGGGGAUAGUGAAGUUCAAACGUCACCCAAUGUGCCAAAUGUCGAAGAGAUGGCAACUAGACUUUGGUAGGUGUCACAGGGGAUUAAUUGUUGUGCUCAGAUGGAAAAUCUCUAGUCAGCUCUCUCGACUCCAACUAUGUGACAUUUUUAGCUCUAAAGGGCUCUAGGUAAAAUAUUUCUAAUGGUGUAUAAAUUUUUUUUUUUUUCUGACGGAGGGGGUGUUCGGAUUAAUUCUUACGGAACCCGAUUAAUCUCACUUCGAUCAAAGAGGAGAGGCCCUAUCCCCCGAACACGAUAAUCACAGGAUUCGAAUCCUUACAGACACUGGACACCUGCUUCUAAAGAGACUUGUUGAAACCAAUCGAGUUACCCAUGAGGGACAGACAAUUUGAUGGGAGACAAAGGUUGAACCCCAGACCCCCCACCCCUCCGGGAGAGGCAGUGGCCUCUGAGCUUUGUUUCCUAAUGGUGUAUAGAUGGAGAUGAAAAUGCUUGUGAUUUCUACAAAUUUCUAAGGGUGUAUCAAUGGAGAGUAGCGAUCAAGGACAGUAACCUCAUUGUGCUAUUUUUGCAUUUCUGCUGAAUUAUUUUAGUAUCUUCGUCACAAUUCACAAUUAUAUAAUUUUCAAUGAAUUUUUUAUUUUUUAAUAAUUUAUUUUAUUAUAUAUAUCACAUUAUAAAAAAUAUUAUAAUAAUUAUUUUAAACAAAAUCUCAAAUAAUCUACUGUUCAAACACAUCUGCCUAAGAACUCCGAUCUCAUUCCUCUGCUCCCAAUAAAGGGAGCGACUACAAGAGGGGGGAGCAGGGUAGGGAAGAAACAAAAACAACAAACUUGUCAUCAGACAGAAGAGGAGAGGUCAGGAGCUGAGGUGAGUGGUGUAGGUGUAGCUUUAUGUCGAUGUUUUGUUUGCUUGGAUUUCCCGCAAAAGAUAUUUAGAUUUUCCCGCCAAAAGAAUAUUACCCUCUCUCAACCGUCGUUUUCUCGCACGUCAGUCAAGCCAAAGUAGUAGAAUUUAGAAAAAGAAGAUUGCAAUGGUUUUGUUUCAUCUUCUCUUCCUUUGAAUUUGAACUCAACGGUCACGUUUCUCUUUCAGCUGUCUCCCACGCCCUCUGGCCCCAAUUCGUCCCUCUCUCUCUCUCUCUCUUUUUUUUUUUUUUUAAUUAUAGAAGUAGCAAGCAUGAUCAAGAACUUAAGAAGCCCAAAUUAGUCGUAGUAGUACAUUAGCAGAGGUCCAAAGUUUCUCCCGUAUUUGAUUAUUUUCCUUUUUGCGGGCAAAUUUUAUUGGGCAUUAACCACAACGGCUAAAGCUACGUCCUGGCUGUCAUCUCGACGAAUUUGCUAAGAACUAGUGUGCUGAUUUUCAGACAUAUAAAUAAUUAAACUUUCAACUCUGACAAUCGAAAACAUGCAAAUAUGUUUAUUGAUCUUUAGGUGAUUUGUCUCGCUUUAAAAUAAAUUGAAGUUUCAAAGUUUUUUUUUAAUUAAUUAUGCAAUUCUAGUAUAUUUGCAGAUUUUCAAAUAUGUUAAUCUGUUGCAUGUUUGAUUUAAUUUUAUUAUUACCACAAAUUUAAUGUAGUGAAAUAGUGACAUUUCUAAAACACUAUACUGUGAUGUAGAUGUGAUUAGGGAUGGUAGUGGGGGCGGGCACCCGUCCCGCGGGGAGCUAAUGGGGAGGGGGGUGGGACGGGAUCGGGGGAAAUUUUUUCCCAACCGCUUAGAAACGGGGCGGGGGAUGGGGGAGUGGACCCCUGCCCCGCCACCCGCUUUAAAAAUAUAAAAAAAUAUAUAUAUGUAUAUAAUUAUAUAUAUAAUAUAUAAUUUAAUUAAUUACAAACUUAUGAUAAUGAUAUUAUUAGUUAUAUGUAUUAUAUAAUGUCUAUUAGUAUAUAUAAUAUAAUUGAUAUUAUUAAUUAUACUAAUAAUUAUAUAUGUGUACUAAUACAAAUUAUUAAUUGGUUAUACUAAAUUUACUAAUACAUUUAUACUAAAUCCCUAAUUACACUUAAUACAAUAACAUUUUUUUCUUAAAAAAAUCACAAGCACAAUAAUGAAUUAGUGAUUGUAUUUGUGCCAAAAAUGAAAACUUGACUACUUUAGGGUCUGUUUGGUUGGAAGUAAAAUGUUUUCCUCGGGAAAAUAUUUUCCGUGGAAGUAAUUUUCCAUGAAAAUCAUUCCCUUCAUCAUUUUCAGGUGUUUGGUUAGUUUAUUGAAAAUAUUUUCUUAUUUCAUUUUUCUAGUGUUUGUUUAACUUUUGAAAUAUUUUCACUUUUAUCUCUAUCUUUACUUUCUACACAUUAUAACUAUAUACUUCUUCCCAUGCAAAAAGAAAAUUUAUCUCAUUGUUUAAGUUUAAAAAAUCUUGGAGAAAUGUAUAUAUGAAUAAAAAAUAUUUCCUUAAGCAAUAAACAAAUUGCUGGCCAUUUAGUGUCAAAUAUCAAUCACGUACAAUUCUUAUUGUGACAUAUAUCUUGCACUCUCACUGCUGAAAGUUUCUCUAGAAAAGAAUGUCCCUAUUAUACAUAAUUAAUUACUAGCAUAGGAUGAACAUGAUGAGUUUUUUUUUUAUUUUGAAUAUACUAGGGGGAGGGUUAGGUUGGGUUGGGUGGUACGGGGGAAGGAGUGUAAGGAAUAGGUCUUGAGUUCAAGUCCUCUUGUUUACACUAAAAAAAAAAAAAAAAAAACAUACUACAAGAUGUUUUCAGUAAGUUUGGAACAUACUACAUACGUGAUACAUGCAUUUCGGAAAACAAUUUCAGUAAGUUUGGAAAUGUUUUUAGUAACUUUUGUGCAACCAAACACGGGAAAUUAGGAUGAAAUUGUUUCAUCCGAAACAAACGGACCCUUAGUUAUAUUUAUUUCAUCAUGUUGGAUUGUAUUCAAAUAAUUUUUAUUUUAUUGUUUUUAUAAGUUUCAAUUGUAAAAUUACAAUGAAUAAUAAUUUGAUGAUAUGUUGAUAUUUUAGUGUUUGAUUAUUUGCUAAAAUUUAACCAUAAUAAAAUUAUAUAACAAAUUUUUAUUAGUCCCACGGGAGCACCUGCGGGGAAAGCGGGGCGGGGCAGGAGGGAGAGGGGGACGGGGAAUGGGGCGGGAGCGGGGGUGAGCUUGUAGGCAGCGGGGUGGGGCAUGGGGGAGGAGUCUCCCGCCCCAACCCCGCCCCGUUGCCAUCCCUAGAUGUGAUAAUAUUUUUCUAUUAUUUUUUUUUCUCACAUACAUCAAAUCGCUACAGUAAUUUUUCUAUGAAAAAAUACGGAAAAUGCAAUCCAAACGGGACCUAGUGAUUGUAGACUUGGCUGUAUUUGAUACGUACAAGCUUGUCUUUGUGUAUUUAUUAAAGAUUAGAAAGGGGAAAAAGUAAGAAAAUGAGGUCAUGCCAAUCUUAUUUUAGCCUUGAUUGGAUUGAUUGGUCAAUUUAAGAAAUCACGAGUUUAAGUCCGUUUGAACUGUUAUUUUGAUGAGUUUUUUUUUUAAUAAAAAUAUACUGUAACGAUAUAAUAUAUGUGUGAUAAAAAAUAAUCAAAAAAUAUAUUCACGAAAAACACAAAACUUUUCUGCGAAAAAUCACAAACCAAAUCAGAUUUUAUUUUUUUUUAGCGAUUUGAUGUGUGUUCACUAAUGUCAUCGAACCAUGAACCAGUCCAAAAUCACUUGUUUUUGGUUGGUGUUUAUUGAGCAUUUGCUUGAGUAAAAUGAGAUUAAGUCGUUUCCGAAGUAUUUCUUGCUAUCCCUUGAUUUGUAGAUUUUUUAUUAUUAUUUAAAAUUGCGAAUGAUAUAAGUAAUGUUGGAAGCAAUUUAGAUAGACAUCUAUUUUUAUAAAAAUUAUUUACUUGCAUCGCAAAUAUAUUUUUAUCUUCUCAACUAUCUUUUUAUUUUAUAUAUAUCACAUCAUAAAAAAUAUUAUAAUAAUUAUUUCAAAUAAACUCUUAUCCAGAUAUACUUAUAUAUACGUCCGUAACUUUGAAAUUUGUAAACUUUUGUCACUUAAUUAAAUGUUCUUUACACAACAAAAGCUUUCGCGUAAACAUUAGUGACUCGUUUCCAAAAUUAUUAGGUAUACCUUGUAAAUAUGCAUUUGAGAAAGAAAAAAAAAAAGGAAGAAGGAAACGAGAACAGUGUCACAGACCACGAGUGGCUGUAUGAUGUGACCUUCUCCUUGGAACUAGUAUUACAAUUGAACCAUGAAUCUUGCAAAUUAGUCGCACCCCCUAUGAAUGAAAUGAUUAUUUUUGCAUGAGAAUUGUUAUGUGUGUUGACAUUUGCAUGAGAUUAUUCCACCAGGUGCCCCUUUUUUAUUCUCUUCUUUUUCCUUCUUUUUAUGGGUAACUUACAUGAAGUUUUCAAACUUGAGUGUCUCGUUUGGCCCCACCCUCACAUGCUUUACGUGAGACCAACACUCAGCCAUUAGAUUUAAGGGAUAAUUCCAAAAGAAAAAAUUGCAAUUUUGGUACCUAAACUUCGACGCAUGAGCGGUUUUAAUCCCUAAAUUUUGGAUGAAAAUAAAUUUGGUAUCCGAAUUUUCAAAUUUUGAACACAUUAAGUACCCUUGACGAUUUUUUUCCAAAUUAUUAUCGGAAAAAACCAUGUGACAAUCACGUGUCCGGCCAAAAUGGAAUUAAAAAAGGCAAAAAAUGUAGUUUUGGUACCUAAAUUUUGACGCAUGAGCGGUUUUAAUCCCUAAAUUUUUUACGAAAACAAAUUUGAUAUUAGAACUUUCAAAUUUUGAACACAUUAAGUACCCUUAACGAUUUUUUUCCAAAUUAUUAUUGAAAAAGCCAUAUGACAGUCACGUGUUCGACCACAAUUAUAUAAAAAAAGGCCAAAAAUAUGUCAAAUGCCAUUCUAAUACUAAGUAUUAAAUUUAAGGACUAAUAACGCAAUAAAGAAAAAAUUCAAGGACUAAAUAAUAUCACAUGAAUCAAUAAAACCCAAGAACCAUACAAAUGAGCUCCAAUUCCAGACAAAUUUUGUGACUUGAUUCUUAGAUUAAUGUGCUGAAAUAUAAAAAAAUGUAUUGAAAAUUGUAAUGAUGAUGUAAGUAAAUAUAUUUGAAAAAAUAAUUAAUUGUCCAAACAAAGCCAUAUAUCUGUUUGAAUUUUAAUUGGGGGUCAAGUUUAAAAAAAGGACAGGCAAGACGGGAAUUAGUGCAGUCAUCACUCCUCAACGUGGUAGCAGUGCCGUCUAAGAUCGUGAGAAGCAUGAUGUACUAGUAAUUGAUAUACAUACAUAUACUUUGCUUAAAUAUUUCACCAUCCUCCGUUUACAUACCGCUGUAUGCAAACUCUCCCAAAUGUCGUAGAAAAUACGUAGUUUGGAUUGCAUUCUUCGUGAAACAAAAUUUUUUUGUUUGGGAAGCCAUUUUUUUAUCAAAAAUUUUCUACGAAAUAUUUUUCAAUCACCUUCUUUAUUUCACGUGUACCAAAUCGCUAUAGUACAUUUUUUAAACAAAAACUUCAGAAAAUUGCAAUCCAAACGAGAGGUAUUCUUCUUGAUGUUUGGAUAGCCAUUAUUUGUAAGUGUUAAUAUCUUGUUUGUAUUAUUAACAAAAUUUUCAAUCACCUUUUUUUAAAAAAUUUUUUUUUUAUCUCACAAACAUUAGGUUACAAAAAAGUGCAUAAUGUUAAGUCAAAUAAUUUUUUAAAAAUAAAUCUUAUCCAAAUAUAUGAAUUUUUUAUAUUUCACGUACAUCACAUCUUAAACAAAAAAAAAAUGAUACACUGUUAUUUUUCUACCAAAAUUUUCCAAAAAAAUGCUGCAUUACCGGUUGCGUAAGAGCUUUGCUAGAUUGCUGGGACAUGCUCUAGCUAGGAAUUAAACUGAUGUACAGAAGAUUGGUAAUCAGUAAUUUUGAUCAACGCAAAAAUGGAUGGCUGUUCUGCAGUUGCUCCUACAUUAUUUUGAAUUUAGGCAUAUUAUCUGGUCCGAAGGACGUGAUCCACACAUGGAUAAAUUUCAAGAUCUAUCCAGCAAAUAACUGAACCAGUUAGUAUAACUUGAUUUAAUUUUCUUUUGACCGGAAUACUCGAUCUGCUUCCACAGGUUCGAUGCAUUUGCUCAUUUCUAAGGGAAACCUGGUGACCAAGUGCUUCAAGAAAUCUUCACCUGAAGAAAAAAAAAAAGCACGGGACGAACCAACCCUAAAGUAUGCAGAUGAAUACUCUCAUUGGACCGGACAAGAGAAUUUGGCAGACUACUCGCGUUGAAUUUGUUGGACAGAGCAGCCACAGCUAAUUUUGCUGAUCCAAUCCAAAAGUUGAUCACCGCCACUCCAACCUUGACAGCUAACUUAGCACAUGCUUUCAAGACUGUAUGGACAUGUGUUAUUAUAUUAGUACGUUUUUGUUUGUUCUACGGGGCUUUCGGUUUAUGUGCUUUGUGGGGGUUGUGACCAUCGGCAUCUACCCAUGCAGCAGUGUCUCCAUCUUAUAUUGCAGAAAUGAUGUUCCAUGAUUGUCGAUGAUCUCCCUGUCUUUGUACACUUGAUUUGUUUUUCCUAAUUCCUCCACGGCUGUACGCUUGUCUUGGUCCCAUGUUAUACAACAGUUAUGUUCCGACGACUCUCUCCGUCCCAAUUAUUUGGAAUCCAACUUUUUAAAAAUAGUAGUGUUUUAUUACGAUAUGAUCAGAGAGAAGGGUUAUAUUAAAAAGAGAGAGUUUAGAAGAUGUCUUAACUUUUUCUACGCGACAAAUAUUUUAAGAUAUUUUAAAAUAAAAAGUAUGAUACUUUUAGUGAAACGAAGGGAGGGAGUAUAAUAUUGAACAAACUAAUCGGCAUGCAUUGGCAGCUAAACGUUUUGGAUUGUAAGUUAUUUGGGAUUAUUUGGGAUAUUUUUACUGUAGCACUUUUUGUGAUGUGAUGUAUGUGAGAUAAAAAGAUAUUGGGAAGAUAAAAAGGUGUAUUGAAAAUUGUAAAGAUGAUGUAAGCAAAUAAAAUUGGGGAAAUAUGAAGCAAUCCAAACAUACCCGUUUCUUCUGCAUUAUUAUGGCAUGCAAAACGAGAUUAAGAAGUAAAAGUUCACCAUAUAAAAUUUUCAAAAAGAAUACAAGGAAGACGGUCAAAAGUUAAAGGAUGGGAUGGAUAGAUUAUUAAAUUAAUCAAAUCAAAACAAGAACAGGGGUGGUGUGCGAAUAAGAACAGAAUUUGCCUACUGAUUGCUGAUGAAUUAUUUGAACAGUUUUUAUGCGUUGAAAUGGAAAGCAAGUCUUUGGUGAAAACAUCACCAGAGUGCCGGGCAAGUUGCAAUAAACCUACCCUCCGCGUGUUUGCUCCUUCUGAACUUAAUUAUCUCUUUCCCCGACUGAUUGUUCUUCAACUUUUAGCAUCGCUCGAGGCUGCUUCACAAGAAGGAAACAGCAGCAGCAGUACUUGGUAUCUAAUCUUGCUAUUAAUAAUAUUUCAUUUAGCUCAGUAAAUAACUUGUGGCCUUAAAAAAUAGCACUCCCAUUCAAUCCAGUUUCAUGUGAACAUUUUCUUUAUUCCUUCGGUAAAAGUAACAACCUAAUCUCUAUCGUCUCAAAGCCUCUUUUUUUCCCGCAAAGCCAAAAAUGGGUACAAAUCCUAAGCAUAAAGAAACACUUUCUUUAUACUCGAUUAAUUAAACUUAGGAGUGCAAGUUUAGGCAAGCGUGAUUUUUUGAAUGUUUGGCUACUUGCUAUCAGCUUUGACGUGGGACCAAAUAUGAGGCCGCAAGAAAACAUACUUAUCGCAGCUUUCUUCCCCUCCAAAAUUCAAAUGGGGGCGAGGGUGAUAAGAUUAGUGGACUAGAAACAUAUAGUAUAUUAUAGACGCCCCCCCUGUCCCUUUUUUUUUUUUUUUUUUGGAAUAACAUGAAACCAUGUGCUUUUACGCAAGCACAAGUACAGAGAUGUAUGUUCCAAAGAUAGACAGACUGCCCCCGGAUCAAGGGAAAAGAGAAAUUAUGUCGGGAGGACACAAAGGAAACGCUUCAAUCGCACAAGGAAUUUGUUGGAAAGAUUUAAUAUGUCUUCCACUACUAAAUGCAUUCACUCAUUUUCACUCCACUUCUUGCCUGCCCGCAUUUCCAUCACUAUUUUCCAACACCCUUACUGCUCUACGACACCCCGAGUCCUAACUAAAUGCUGCUGCUGCAGCAGUCCCCACUUCUAACUCCCUCUCCAUGCAUUUUCUGGAAUCUCGCGACAGGCCUUUAACAAUCUGCUAGUAAAAUAAGUACUGAGUUUGUUUGGAUGGUUGCUUGCUUGGAUCUUGGGUACCUUUCAAAGACUUUAAUUCGUAAAUUCUUGUUUCUGUUCCCGGCCGCGGCCCAAACGGUCCGAAGUCUGGAGAGUGCUCUUGUUUUAGCGUGACGACCAUGCAGGCCCAUGAUAGCUAGUAAGAGUUCGUUCAAGGACUCCAGGCUGUUAUUAACAUUUUUUUUUUUUGGCUGGGGAGCACAAGGGAAAAAUAAAACUGCUGUUUUCGAUCAUAUUAAACUAUAACAUUACGAGUAUCCAGCUGAUUGCUAGUUGUCCCAUUAAACCAACUAUUUGUUUUUAUUUCUAUGUCUAAAAAUAAUAUCUUCUUUUGUAAAAGAUAAUUGUGAAGCGUUAAUAAAUAGGAUUAAUCUUAAGUUAUUUAUCGUGUAUACACUUUUAUCAUUAAAUACAUAAAAUAUAAUUUGAAUUUGAAAUUCAAAUUUUACAUAUACGUCGUACAUUCAAGCGUAACAGUGUAUAAUACUGUCAGUGUAUUAGAAGAAUUUUUAUACUCGGUUCAUUUUAUCAAUGGGAACCAAUUAUACGAGGGGUAAUACAAUGACCAUAUCAAUUAAUGCUCAUCUGCUCAAUCUACAACCAUACACAAUCAGCUUUGCCAUAUGCUACACAUGCAACGGCUGGCUUGCCAGAUCCCAGAAAUAUCAACAUUCAACAAUUAUGACGAAAUAGUGACCCAAAAGGAUUACUGCCCUUCUGUUCUUUCUCCAAGGAGAUCUGCAUAGAAAUAAAAUACCCAAAUUCAGUGGCUUCCACAGCACAAUCAUAUUAUCUAACAAAAGAAUUACGCCCGUAUGAAAAAAAAAGUAAAAAAAUUCGGUCACUAUAAGCUUAAAAAAUGAUAAUAAUUCUGCUUCAAUGCUUCAAUUAUGAAGCUUUCUUUGCCACUAUUGUAAUAGACUUCAUGUAGUAAGAAAGCGCUAGAACAGGAUAAAAAAAUCGAAGCUCGAAUAGCGAACACUUGAGAUGACCAUAACAUAUUUGUGGCAUAUAGGCCCUUCUUGAUGCACUCAGAAAGCUGUAAUAAUCAAGAUGCAUAUCUAUAACUGAAAGAUAAAUGGCAAGACCUGUCCAUUAUCAAAUCCAUAUUCAGACAAACCGGGAUGCAGCCAUUUGCUCAUAAUGGAGGAUAAGGAUAGGAAAUGUUGCUUGUUUGAUGAUAAAUUACACCUUUUUAUAAAGGUUAUUUGAAAUAGGCAUUGCAAAUACCAAGGUCAAAUAUCUAUAAUGAAAAUAGUUUGAGAGGUCAAAUAGCUACAGGCUUCAAAAGAUGCAGUAGCGUAUGAGUGAUAUAACUGAACUCAGAAUUAAGAUACAGAAGAAUGUCCAAGUUUUAGGCAUGAAAGUGAAGGAACAGAAAUUUGGUAUGGAAAUAGAUUACCAAAAGAAGAUCUUCAUCAGUGCCAAAGGCUUUGCGGGCCUCUUCUAGACGUCUUGACGUCAUCCUCUCAUGUUUCCUGCAAAUUAGGUACAGUAGAUGUUACUUAAACAAGCUUGCUUCAAUGCUGCUCUUCAGACAACAGAUAUAUAAGAACUAACAAAAACUAGAAUCUCAAAGCAGAUGUCCACCCCCCCUUGCCCCCGCCCCCCGGUGACUGGAUGAGAUUUCACAAUGUACAUAUCCAUUCAGUGUAGUCAAGCUCUAUAUUUGAAAAAUUAUCCCCGUAAAACUCAUGUAACAGAAUCAACAAACCAAACCAGUCAUUACAUGAGCAAGGAAGAUCAUACAGCAGACACACACAAAAAAUGCACAUACAUCACAGACAUACACAUACAGCAGACCCGAUAAGGGGAUGAUCAAAUGAUAUUAGAAACCUUGAGCUAGCAGGAUCCCGAAUUUCAAACUCGUCCGUAGCAGCAUCAUAACCGCAAAUUAUGACAUAGUGACCUACAAUAUCGUUCAAUCAAAUUCACAAAUAAAAAGGAAUGACACAAGUAAAAUGAUAAGACUGCAAAAGGAGACUGAAGGUCAGUCGAGAGCAAAAGAGCUCAGUUCAACAAUAAAUUCACCAUGAAACAAGGUCUUACAGUGAAGAUCGUACAACUUUGACAAAGCUAAAGCAUGUGCUUGUUGUUAUAAAUGGUUGACCUAGUUUUAAGGACUAAACUAACAGCCAAAAUUACACAGGCGAUGAUGUCAAAUUAAAAUGAGUACAGACAAUUACUAUCUUUACAUACUAAUCAUGGGGAUUAAUCACUGAAUUGGAAGAUCAGUAUCAUAUCUAAAGAAUAUCAAGCUUGCAAUACUUCUAUCAAUGAAAAUUUGUGAACAUAACGAUCACCUAUCAGAAACAUUAAACAACAAGCUUGUAAUAGUCCUACCAUCUCAUCAAGGUAUUACUUGCUCACAUAAUCUGCAACUGCACUUCAGUUUCUUAUGAUUAUUAUCUUCUUAAACAAAUAUAUUCUCUUAAUAGUUAAUUCUAACAUAAUUAAAUUCCUUCACUAUUUUGUAUUUCAGAUACGAGCACGAGUAUCAUUACACUUUUAGCCAAAACAGUACAUUAGAAACGUUGCAAGGAUGUCUCUUAGUAGGUGGUACGGUUUAAAAUUUAAGAAUGAUAUAGCUAUGAGACAUUUAAGGUAAAAUAUGCCAGCUAGGGGCAAUGAAUGCUUGACUUGUGCAUAAUGGUGCAUCCAUAAAUAAAAAUUAAGGGAACAUCUGUUCCACUUGAUCCAGUGGUUGAGUGAGUGAGAAUUAUUGAUGCUCAUUAACAAGAAAGAUUCAGAAAAAAUGUAUCCAGUUAAGCCACGGCAGCUUAAGUAACUGGAACUCCAUUUUCAUUCCUAAAUCAAGGUGAUUUUUUCCUGAAAAUUAAACAUAAUCCAGUCUUAUAAGUUAGUGCUGUAAAAGUAGGUUGGUUCUCGAAACUUAUACCAAUUAUUUCAAAAUAUAGACAUUUAUCUAAUAUAUUUGAGACUGUUGACCAUGUAAUCCUAUAACAAACAAAUGGCAAAAUAUUUCUAGCCUUCAAGAAAUGAUGUAAAAUGAUAGUUUACCCACUUGGAUACACCAAAUAUUCUAUAACAAAGUUUAAAGAUAAGAUCUCUUUAUCUCAUGUGUGAUAUGCAGCUAUUGGAUGUUUAAAAAACAAUCUUAGCUUUUCUGAGAAUGGUCAGGAUUUCCAAAGUUUCCAUAUCAUCCUCCAUAUUCCGAAACUCUUAAUGAAGCACCAUGUGAACUGGUAAGAGCUCUUCAUCUUUGGAAGGCUGUAUCUUCCAAUAUAUGAUUAUAUUACUCAUUUUUCUACCGAAAGAAAGAUAACAAGUUCAGAAGUUAAGGACACCUAAGAAGAAAAAGCAACGAUUCUCACCAGUAUAACCUGGGCAAUCAUCAUAGAUGCCCGAUAUGCAAACAUCCUUUAUCCAAGAUCGACUGCAUAGAAGAAUCACAAAGGAAAUGCAAAAGGAAGAAAUCAGUGUUAAAAUAAGAUUUCGAUAAGAAAAAUUUCAGUCGAAGCAUCGAUAGAGGCAUAGGAGAAAAAGGAUGCAGGGCAGCUGCCUUCUUCUUAAAGCCAAAGUUAAAGUCAAAAUGGAUGAAUGGACACCCAAAAUGGAAAGGCCAUUUUCCAAAUAUAUAAUGGAAAGAAGUAAAAUGAUAUACCUUAAUAUAUACUGAUCAAUUAAAGCAAUUACGAUAUAAUUUCCAGACAACACCAUCGACGCAAUUUCUUCUCCACUAAUAGAUCUGCACUGUAAAACAAACAAGAUGUGAUUUCACAAGGAUGAAGAGACUAAAAGAUUCCACAUGUCUAAUAUCAGAUGAACAGAGACUCAAACAAGAUAUACUUCAAAAAAGCUGGAUUCACACAAAUUCAGAUCCUUUCUGAAGAAAGGAACAAGAGGCAAAAAGAAUUAGUGAUUAGACUUGAAAAUAAAUAUAAGAUGCUUCAACAUACAGAAGAUAAAAAUGCAAAGAUCAAGAUCAACUACCCAGGUCUUGCUUUGUUUUUCCAUUAUUUAUGGCUGCUUAUGAGUACUCUAUCUAAUUUCCUUUUCACAUAUCUUCUUUUAUUUUCUUUCUUUGAAUAAAAGGAACCAGACAAAAGGGGGGGGGGGAGGGGGGAGAUGAGAGGGAAGCCAUUAUUCUAAAGAGCAAAUUAUCAAGUUUUUUCUUAAGGAUGACAUCAAACUUAUGUGGCCUCAUCACCUCGUCUACUUUAUCGAUAAAUUCUAAAUGUUACACCACAUUACUCCGUAAUGUCUCUCUAGUUUUGACAGUUUAGUACUAUUAUGUUGAGAUGCUGUUUGGACCGACUAUGGAAUCUCCGGAAACACUAUAACAAUGAAGGAUAAGAAUCAAAGUUACCUCUAUAUUUAUUCCAGCAUCACGUGCUUUCUUAAAUAGCAUAUCAACUCGCAGCAGAUCACUUGGAAGUUGGUCCUGCAAAAGCUCUUCUUUGAGAAAACAGCACAUGGCAGAAUGACAAAAAGCUAAUGAAAGUAAGUGAGCUACACCAAUGCCAAUAUGCUUUGGAUAAAUUUAGCUACUUAAGUUUCUCGUCUUGAGUAUUUAACCUCAAAUACCAAAAACAGAGUAAAGGUAGAGUGGAAUUAAUGUGGUAAUACAAAGCUGAAGGGUUCAAAAAAAGAUGGCUACAAAUAAGACCACGCAACUAAAUGACCUUACAGAUCCCAAGGAAAAACACACAACCACUUUUCUGGCUUGGAAAAACCACUCUUCUAGCUCAAUCUAAUAAUCUAAAUCUUUCCCAACAAAAAAGAAAAGAAAAAAGAAGGAAACAAAAAAAAGAGGAAAGCAUGGGCAAUAUGGAAACAAAGAACAAAAACUUGUGCUUCUGCAUAUUUGCUCUAGCUGUUCUUAGACAAGCAAUUUAUCAAAGGCUACUUAGAUUAGGUCAUCAUGAUUGAAAUAAAAUAAUUAUUCAAGCGAAGCACAUCAGACAAUGGAAACUAAUAUGCCAUAACAGGCAAUAACAGGUCAGAACAGAAAGGUGGUAACCAGCAGACUUAGAUGCUGCAGAUUUCAACAUGUAGGCUUAAUUCUAAGCCAAUAUCAAUUUAAACAGUCAAGAUGUGUUAUAUAGUGAGACACAUCAGAAUCCCCAGUCUGUUGGACCUUAAUACAUAAAGGUUUUUCCACGGAACUAGGGAACUAGAGUUUGAAACAAAAGUUUUACAAGUCCAGUUUACCAUUGGAAAACUGAUGAUUUACAAAAGCCAAUGCAAAACUAUUUCACAUAUAAAAGGUUUACAGUUUUAUCCAUGUCCUGUCAAAUUAUUAUAAUAAGUUCAGUGGCAAAAAUUCCAGCAUGUAGAAUAUGGUUACCAGAGAAAUCAAAGAGAGAGAGAGAGUAGGAGUAGUCAUAAUCUAAUAUCUGACUGUCCUGCCAAAUAUUAAACAAAAAAAUCAAUCAGGCAGUAAACCAGUUAAAAGUUGUAACAGGUACAAGCCAGUCGUAAAAUUCUUCAAGGGUUCAAAAGGCAUCUUAAUGAUAUCUGCGUCCACAAGACUCAAACUGAUACAUAAACCAAAAAAAAAAAAGCUAUCUUCCACCUGAACAGCCUCAAAAGUAGCAGCUAAAAAUUCAAGCAGAUUAUUGCAGAUAUACAAAUUCAUUCAUGAAAUUGGACAUCACCUUGUAGAAAGUCUCCCCAAGAAAAUUUGGGUUGGCUCCUAAUGUUACUGUGAAGUAGGAAAAUUUAACUGAAAACUUUUGCAAUAGAUAUGCCAAGUCAACUGUCCAAAUACUGCAGAAAAGAAUGGUGUUAGACUUAUGGUGCAAUUACCGUCAACAAUAUAGCCAUAAAAGCUUAACAUGGUGUUAAAAAAAAGGAAGAUAUAAUACUGUAAAAAGGAAGCAUAAAAUAAUUAGGUCCCACUCUAUCAACAAAUGCAUGCGAGUAGAAAGUAGGAUGUUGUGGGGUCAAAUAUCUUUCAUUCUGACCUAAAAAUUUAAUACUUUAGAUAUAGCAGUUUCCAAUUUAGAAAUGCAAACAUCAAUUCGAUACAGAUUGCAAAGGAAUGUAAGAAGUUAAAUCUCUACACAAGACAUACAUUCAUAUGCAUUUGAAUCACAAAAACUCAGCUACAAAAUGAUCCAAUCAUUAGAGGACCUGCACUUCAGAACAAAGUUAAGUGGCAUAACUGGGAUGGAAGCUUUGAAAAGACAAAUGAAAGGCGAGCAAAAAGCUCAUUCACCUUUCCCUGCAUUCCAGGUCAGAUAACCUGUGAAAGUCAAACAUAAGUUCCUAAUAAAAUUGGAAAUAUUCCAUCUAUGUUUUCUAGAAAACAGCACUCUAUUGAACUCAACUUUAGCGAAAAAACACAAUCAAAUAACCUUGAUAUCCUUUCAUGCAUUUUGCCAUAUGUUUCAUAAUACGAAAUGAACUGCUGCAGAAGAUAAACAACAACACACAUAAAAAUGGCCUGAGGGGAAGAAGAAAUAAAAUCGAGCAAUCUUGACACUUCGAUAUUAAAAUGUAAUUGAAGAGCCUUUUUCUGGUGUUUUGUUUAAUUUGUAUUAAACAGUUUCAACGGUAACUUCAGCAAGAAAAUUGUCUGAUUUUGCAGGAACAAGGAGCUGAUGAGAUGUUAGAACAACAUGUCAAUAUGUAUUCUUUCCAACAUAAGCUCUUAUAAGUGCUAGUCAACAAAGAUUUACUACAAAUGGAAGGCCGACCUUGGCAUUAUAAAGUUGCUUUCAAUGUCUUAUUCAGAUUCCUUCGUAUGGGCAUAUAAAUGUCAUACAACUAUUUCUGAAAUCUAGAUCACAUGGGUUGGUUGGACUUUUCAAACAAGAAACUCAUACCACUGCCUUUUCACCAAUUUAACAAAAAGUUUCACCAUAUUAUGAAUUUACAGAAUUCUAGAUCUUUGAUUCCUCAUGUGCUAAUCAAGUAAUUAUAAGAAGCCCAACUACACAAAUUCACCUAAAAGUUCUUAUCGUGAAUAUGUAAAGUCAUACAUAUCCCAGCAAAGGUUUUGCCAUAGAGGCACACAGUAUAUGGACAAAAAGAGCAAACAGUGAGGUACUGGACCAUGGGGCAUUCAGAGCAGCAGAAAAGUAUGUUUCUGUGAAAGAACAUUAAUAAAGCUGGCACAGUAAUGGAAAUAGAUGGCACCUUGUCGUACAACAGAGGCCUUCCAGUUCCUGAAUAUCACCACUGUUGAUGCCUAGAGUUCUCAGAACCAUCAAAACACAAGCAAGUCCACAAUCCCAUGUGUACUGCUGGUUUAUGUGUGGUACCUUAAAACCAUAAACAGCAUGUGACGGACGAACUAUGAAAUUCACAGCAUCAAAAAAUGUAGUUCGAAAAGUAUCCACUGAAUGAAGCUUUGCCAAUUGACUUACUUCAACGGAGCCUGAAUGGGAUAAGGUGUCAUUUUUGGACCUCUCCCUGCUCAAAAGCAGCUUAAAAGGGUAAGACUCGACCAAGUUCAAAUAAGUCCCAGGUGGUCCCUGAUUAUUUUCUUCUUCUGCUUUCAAAAACUUGUUGAAAAGAAGAUAUAGAGGCCACAUCUAAGACCAAAUUAAUAGAACACAGGUCAGUGCAAGCUAUCCACUUCCUUGGCUUGAUAGAAUUGUUCAACAAAAGGUCUUCACCUUCAUGCUCUUGCUACACAACUGCAAACGGAGUAUGACAUGGAUCAAUUGAGCAAAUAAUACCAAAAUCUAAGGGUGACACACCAUUUAAGAAUUCAGAACAGUCUGGAUCAGGAAUGCCGACACUAAUUCAAUUUUGACCCAGUUUCACUCCGGCUUUUAAUCCGGCACUAAAAGCAAUGCAACAUGUAAAACAAGUGCAGGUCGUAAAGCUGUUAAAGUUUAACCAAAGCAAUACAUGGGAUUGUUACAGCUGUCAGACAUGCAAAAGGCUCAUGAACAAAAGUCACUGUGGAACAUCAUUCCAUCUACCUUUGUGGUCUUCUCUUAUCUUCCUAAUUGUAAUGUUUGCCUAAACAGGAGAAAGCUCAGCACACAGACACAAAAAAAAUAAUAAUAAAAAUAAGAAAAAAAAUAAAGGGGUCUGCCCACACCUAAAGGCAAGGCUGCACACAUGCUUUGUAGAGUCAGCAUUGUCAUGAGAAACCUGGUCAUGCUUAUUACCAAAAUUACACCUUUAUCCAAGCUGCAAUUUCUUCUCUACUAGAAGAUAAUAGCAUCAUAACAUAUUCUGAGAACAAACAACUCAUUCUAUCAGAACUGUUCCUGAUACAUGAAAUUCCCAUUAAGACGGUAGCAUACGACAGGCAAAAUCAGGUAAAAAACGAAUGGUUUUCGGCAAUUAUGUGGUAUGGCGAAAGAUUGAGUCAAGUCCAGCCAAUUCUCAUAAACAAAUAAACCAUUGCAAAAUCCCACCCCAAACGCCAAGAAAAGUGAAAGCCAUCAGAAUUCAGCAAAAGACACCCGAUAAAAUAGACAAAGUCAAGCAGGAGGCAUGAUCAUAUCAAAGAAACCGAAUUAAUCAAAUUUAACAACCUUAAAGAAAAUUAUAGCCAAAAACAAAUAAACAUAAGGCAGAAUAUCGCCAUCCAUCCUAUAGAUAGGUAUUGCAAAUAAUAAAUUAGUAAGACAAAUAAGUAAAUGCUUGCAUUACAAGACAAUGAUGAAACAGACAUCCAAGAGGGCACUCAGUGUACACAAAAGCGUUGCUGGAGAAAAAAAAACAAAAAAAAAAAAAGAGGGGAAGAGAAAUCAUACCCUCCUGGCUUUUAAGAAUUGAUGAAGCAAGAUAAAAGUGUUGCUUAAUACUUUAUCUCUCGCGCUGGCUCUCUGGAUGAACCUUUGGUGUAAAUUCUUGCUUCUUCUUUUCUGGUUCUUUUUCGAUUGAUCAUUCUUGAUUCUCCUGGUCCUGGCUCCUCAGUUGAAUGAUUCAAGAUCUUUACUGAAACAUUUAUGUUUUAGUUCGUGGGUCCCUGUUAUCUAUCUUUUCAUUUAUCUUUUAUGUCCUAGCGCGUAGCACAUAGGUUUAGACUUUAGAUUGUAAAAUAUUUUGUCUUAAUAUUCUAAAGAUGAUAGAAAAUGCAGGUGGCAGGUGGCAGGUGGCAGUUGGCAAUUGGUUGUGUUGUUAAUCCACAAUACUUUUUUCCCAAGGAUUACUACAUAGUAAAAAACGCGAUUUAAAAACGAUUUAUUUCAGUUGGUUGUGAUAGUUUUCUCGAUACAUUAAAUGGUAUCAUAUUAAGUAAUCAAAAUUUUGAGGAAUCUAAUAUUCAGAAAGAAGAAAAUGUUAUGUAGUUCGUGGUAAGUAAAAUACAAAUAAUCAAAAUCACCUUUUCAAACACUUAAUAAGAAAAACUUUAUACAAGAAAAUAAUUAAAGAGGAAAUGCAAAAUUUUGCGCACAAGGAUUUAUUUCAAAGGUAAUGAAGAAUGUCCCUGAUUUAAGUGGUCGCGGGUCUGGGUCUCUUGCCGUAAAUCUGCGGCAUGCCCCAAAUGCAGGCCUCACCUGAACUUAAAUCAAGGUCCAGAAAAGGUAGGGUUUCGCCUUGGCCCAAAUCAGGCACACGCACGCUGGACUCUGGAUUCCAACAACGGGGUCCUGUGUCUGUUACCAAUCCAGAUUAGCUUUAAAUUAGGUAUUGCUCUUGAUGUGUGUUUCAGGCUAAUCGGCACACCAUAAAUAAAAAAUUACAAAGGGAGUCGGUUAUUCUAAGGAAGUUGGAGAGUGGUUUAAAUAUUUCCCUAAUUAGUUUAGGCGCCAGCUAUGGACAAGCUACCUACGUCAGAGAACACCAGGACUUGGGGCAUUUGUGUUGGAUUCAUGAGUUAGGCCUUUGUUUGAUAAUUUAAUUCAACAUUUAAAUUUAAUGGAUUCAUAUCUUAAUAUAUAUAGACGCGUUUGAUAACGGAACAUUGAACAUAUGAAGUGACACUGAAUUUCGUAGGCAAAACUUGAAUAAAAAAGUAAAUGAUAAGCUGUUCACUUAUCAUUUAAUAUGAUAUACACUCAAAAUGUAUCAAAUUUAGACAUUAACAAUUCAAUAAUUUAAUGAAUUCAAAUUUCAGUUUUCAAACUUAAAUUUUAUCAAAUGCACCCUUAAUCUUACUUGCUUUACAACCAACAAAAGCAUCUAGGUUCUAGGCUGAAAGAGCAAACAUUAAAAUUAGUUCCAUAUGCAAUUAAACACCCUACACUGAAUGGUGAGGUAUCAACGGAUCAUGUUAACAUCAAGCCGAGGAACUUGAUGAAAAAUUAAACUAUGAAAUGCUGUCGAACUGGCUAAUCUUUUGUUUCUUUUCUUUUUCAAUUUUAUGACUACUUAUUAGUAGUUAUAUUUACCACUUAAUGCUAACAAGGUACUCCCUCCACUAUCACACGGAUCAAGAAGUGUAAAUUAAUAUAGUUAAUGUAAUCAUUUUUUACAUAAUACUUUCCUCUUGUGCUGGCCCGUUAAUACUAGUACGUUUACUUUAGCUGUAUUUUUAUUACUGCUAAAGUGGUUCAUCAAUCAAUAGAAUAGUGUAUCUGUUGAUAAGGAUGUACAUUAAAUACGGGGAUAGUAGCAAAUUGAUAGAUUAAAUUAUUUUUUAUUAAAAAAAAGAGAAAUAGGCCUAUAAUUUGAGACAAUCACAAAAAGGAGGAAAAUAAACCCACCUUUAUGAGACAGAAAGAAUAUAUAGGCCCAAUUUGACAAAUGAACGUUUAUUUCAAAUUUUAUUGUAACCUACGGUAGAAGUUUUACUAUAACUUAUUGUAGAAAUUAUAGGAAGAAUUUUUAAAAUGAAAUUUUUUUUAAUGUGUUUUGGGUAUUUUGAAAUGUGUGAUUUAAAAACUUUUUUAAAAUUACUAUAGUUAAAGUUAUUAAUAAAUUUGUAGGAGACAAACUUGGCCAAAAACUCCUUUGCCCAACAACAGCGACAUAUUAGUUUUCAACUACAUUUCUACACCCUUUGACUUAUUUGCUGAUGGACGAACAACACAUGACAUGUGCAACAACAACACAACAUCGCAAGUGCACUCAACUGCUUAUUUGCCAUGAUAGUACACGAUCAAUCCUCAAUGAACUUACAACAACAUGUAGUUUGAUUUUUAUGGGUACGGCAGAGAUGGUUGGUUGAUUUGAAUAAAAGGCCAUCAAUACAAUCAUGAAUGAGAUGUAUAGGAGCAACUGCACGUGCAUGCAAAGCGGGGGAUGGCUUUGAAAUGAAAACUCGCUGUUUUUUUGGGGUUGGCAGGCUUCUGUCUGUCCGUUAGGAGUACUUCAAAAUUGAAGAGGAGAAGAUGCCCGUUUUCAAAAGCUAGCCACUAACUGGAUUUCAUUUCUGAUGCAUGCAUGGGUUGGGUGCCCGUCGAAUUCAAAAAACAAAAGGCCAGUUGCCACCCAAUCGUCGAGUGGAAAUUAAAUGCAACUACUGACUGACUGGCAGCUAAAGUUGGUUGAUCAAAGGAAAAGAGGGGAGGAAUCAGUCGGCGUUUGCAUGGCAGAAAGUCAAAUAAAGGUUGUGGGUUUUGUUGGCAACGGUAAGUUUAGAAAGCGCAAAAAGGCAGGCACGGUGUCUUUGAUUAGCUUUUUCUGCAUUCGUUUAAAUCAGUUGUUAACUAGCUAGCCGUUUCUGUUUGGAACUUUUUGCCGCUCCCUUUUUCUUUGUUAAUAAGUUACCGCUAUGACUUGUGAUGAGGCAGUAUAUGUUGUAGUCUAUAGAGACAAGAGAAUAGGCGGCGCCGGCGACACAUUCAUCUUACCCUACCGGAGAACUGAACUAGAAGACCUCACAUAUAUAUAUAUAUAUAUAUAUAUAUAUAUGUAUGUAUAUUGGCAACAUGCCAGCAACAGAGGAAAGCAUUAUUAGGUUAAGGUGUCGAUUAUCAGUAGAGUUGAAUACGAUCGACCAAAAGGAUGCCGACCAAAAAACAGAGAACUAUAAGCAACCAAACGAGACAUCGACUAACUCCUACUUAAUUCCGAAGAAGAUACUUUAUUUAAUUAACAAAGACAAUGCAGAAAAAGGAAAGCUGCUUUGCACCCUACUUAGUACAUUGGUUGGAUAAACUGUGUAGAUAUAUUUAUUGGAGUAUAUAGCAUAUGGAUGAUGGUUAAUUUUUUGUUUCCUCAAAACUGGACUGGACAAGACUGAGAUUUAAAACCUGCACUUCCCACGCAUCCUUUUAUCAGACUUGGUGUCGUCUAUCCGCAGUAUAUGAAAAAAUUCAGACUGGCUGCUGGCGUGACUUUGAUUAUAAUGCUACCUUUUCCUAAACUUCACAAUUUUGAUUUGCGUUAUAAUUAAUUUUGGAACGGGAUGUUACAAAGCAAGGAGCCCACUGGUUCGAUUUCCUAUCCUGCUUAACUAGUAGUAUGCUUUUAGGCGUGAUGAGAUAUAUUUCAAGUACCACCGUUUGGAUUAGCCAUUUUUCCAAAACACAAGUUUUUCAAAGACAGUGUUACAGUAAUACACAAUAAUUCAAAAAAUAUCUCAUUCACACGAUAUAUCGAAAUUUUCAAAAAAUUUUUAUAGUACAAAAUUUUCAUAUACACUGCUACAGUAAAAUUUUUCAAAUAUAUUCCCAAAAAACAGCUAAUCAAUCCAAACAGAUAACUCAGAAAUGAAUGUUAAACAACACACGAAUGUCUAAUCCUGCCUGCUGAUAACCUGUACACUCUCUCUUGCAAAAUUGGAGAAUAUCAUAGGCAUCCAGAUCAGACUAGUGAACCACCAAAUUGAAAUUGAAACAUACCCGUAUUUUUCAAUUUGAGUAGGAGAACUGCUCAACCAUAACUGUUUUUCCAGUAAACCAAAGCCUAAUAAGCUUUUUGACAAUUGAACAAUGCCCGUGUUUUUCAUAAAAAGACGUCUGCAUUUGGCGUUUACCUUUAUGGAUAUUGGUAUCACUGUCACCGAACUUAUUUUAAUUGUCUACCGAGGUCUACAAAAGAGUCAUUGGAACUCUAAAUUGUAGCUCCAUUUAUUAUACAAUGGACUGAAAUUAAUUAGUAAUUAAAAACGUUAGUGCAUUCUUGGGGUCUUCGUUCCACAAACAUACCUAAUUAAAACUUAUGGUCAAAGGCUCAAACACAGCUAAGUGAGAAAUCCAAGAUCAUCAAAAGACAAUAAUUGUAAAAUGAUGGAGUGUAUAUAUGCCACAAGUUAAUGGCAUGCAACAUUUAUGUUUCGAGUGCUUCUACUUCCGAUAUCAUCAUUAUAAGACUGAUCGUUGAUAAAUGAUACUCCCUCCUUUAUAAUUGACGUUUAAGGUUUUGCACACCAAUUAAGAAAAGUUUUUUAUUGGUUAAAUCUGUACACUACUUUCCUUUUGUACCCUCAUUAAUUGUCCAAUUUACCCAUGUUUUCUCUCACUAGAGUAUUAAAUGGUACUGUUUUACUAGGUCAAAAGCAAUGCAAACUAACUCUCACUAAACUAGGAAUAGUAAUUAAGAACCCUGUAUUGGAAAAGAGAGAUAAAAGGAUAAAAUUGUAAAAAAAUAAUUAAUACUGUAUGGGAAUAAUAAAACGACAGAUAAAAGUACACCAGAGCAAAUUUCUUAAACGCCCGUUACAAUAAAAGGAAGGGAGUAGUAAAAUCUACUGCGUGCUUGUACCCUGGGACAAUUAUUAGUCUGUGGUCCUCAUGAAUCAUGAUCGAUAACAUCAAAUUUUGUUGCUUUACCCCCUUUUCAUUCUGAUUGGAAAAUUCUUAGUAGUAUUUCCUUUCAUCACUACUUCACUAGCAGUGUAACUCAAAAGACGUGGUAAAGAAAAAAGAUUAGUGAAGCUUCCAACAACAAUAAACUUUUUGGUUUUAGAUUAAAAACGUGCUUAAUGCUAAUUAAUAUAUGUCCUGCGGAAUUGAUAACAUAUUCGUAUAAUGAAACGUUAGUUCUAAUUUAUAAAGUUCGAUCCAGCAUUCUCAAGAAUCAAACUUUGUGGUCGCCGGGGUUAGGUGAUAUGUGGAGUUGGACACCUAAUUUUAAACUUUCACCAGCUUAUUUGAAGUUUUCAACACUUUCAUUUAUUGGGGUUUCCUCUGCUUUGAGUUUGGAAGGGUCCCCAAGCCAUCCAGAAAUUAACUGCUUGGUUUGGAUUUCAGGCAGCCAUGUUUAACCUUACAAAUUUCAAAGUUCAUACACAUUUAUUCCCGUCAUUUAUGCUUCAUAAUAUACUGCAUGCCAUCACAUUUAUGACUUCCUCUGCAACCUUGAAUUCUACAUAGUUUGAACAAAGGAGGAGCGUCAUCUAUACUUGAAAAAUUAUCUGAAUUUUGAACAAGAGGUGUAUAACUGUUCUUGCUCAUCAGUGCUAGUACUUCUCCCUUCUACCAAAAAAAGAAAGAAAAAGCAACUACUACUCCUUACCUCGAAAGAUAAGUAAUUAUUGUGGUAAUUAACAGCAGUAUCCUUUUAUCCUAGUGUUGGUAAGUAAAGUUAUAUAUUACAUGUAUAGCUGUCAAACAAGCCUAUUUAAUUAAGUUCACCCACACCCGCCCAUAGAUAGAUGGGUAUGGGUAUCUUAAAUUUUUGUAUAUGGAUAUAAAUGGGUUACCCAAUAAUACCCAUUUAUUAAAUAGGUAUUAUUGGAUAACCCAUCAAACUCAAUUAACAAAUUUAAAAUUGUCUUCCCCCAAACCUCCUCUUUUCCCCCACAUAUUUUUUUUUAAAAUUUUUUUAUUUUAUCAUGAUGUUAAUUACUUUUGUGUCAUUAUUAUUAUUAUUAUUAUUUGGUUUUAUUUUCUUUUAGUUUGUUAAUUUGCUCAUUUUUCAGCAUUACCAAUAAGGAUGACAACGGGGGUGGGUGCCCGCGCAGGGGGCUAAUGGGGCGGGAGCGGGGAGAAACGGGGUGGACACUCCCCCGCCCCGCUUUAAAAAAAUAAAUAUAUAAAAAAUAUAUGUAUAUAUAAUAUAUAAUUUAAUUAGUUACAAACUUAUGAUAAUAAUACUAUUAGUUACAUGUAUUAUAUAAUGUAUAUUAGUAUAUAUAAUAUAAUUGAUAUUAUCAAUUAUACUAAUAAUUAUAUGUGUACUAAUACAAAUUAUUAAUUGGUUAUACUAAAUUUACUAAUACAUUUAUACAAAUUUCCUAAUUACACUUAAUACAAUAACAUUUUUUUCUAAAAAAAAAAAACACAAGCACAAUAAUGAAUUAGUGAUUGUAUUUGUGUCAAAAGUGAAAACUUGACUACUUUAGUUGUAUUCAUUUCAUCAUAUUGGAUUGUAUGCAAAUAACUUUUGUUUGAUUGUUUUUAUAAGUUUCAAUUGUGAAAUUAUAAUGAAUAAUAAUUUGAUGAUGUAUUGAUAUUUUAGUACUUGAUUAUUUACUAAAAUUUAACUAUAAUAAAAUUAUAUAACAAAUUUUUAUUAGCCCCUUGGAGGCACCCGCGGGGGGAGCGGGGGAGGGGAAUUUGUAGGCUGCCCGCCCCAACCCCGUCCCGUUGCCAUCCUUAAUUACCAAUUUAUGACAAGUUUUAACCUUUUUUCUUACUUUUCAAAAAUUAAAUUUUAAAUUUACACACAAAAAAUGUUAGAGGCUCAAAAUUUUUGGAUUACGUUUUUAUGUUAAUUUUUACAGUAUUUAGUUCAAAAUUUUAUAUUCUUAUUGUUUAAUUAUUAAAUAGUAUGUAAUUUUACGAAUUAGAGUACAGAUGGAAAAAUUUUGAUAAUUAGAUUUGUUGAGUAUUAUAAAUAAAUAUUUAAAACGAAUGAUGAGUAUAAAGCAUGGUAUAAAUUGAUAACUUCGUUUGCAAAAAUGAAUUUACAAAAAGUUAAAAUAAAUGGGUAAUUAGGUUACCCAAUUCAUUUUUUAACUUACCCAUUUAUACCUAUCUAAUUAAAUUGAUAUAAACGAGUUGAUUCACUUACAUCCAUUACCCAUUUUAUCCAAUCCAAAGCCGCCCAAAUCACCAAUUUUAACGCCUCUAAUUACAUGUAAUCCUCUCCAUAGGAAAUUUAUGGGGAUAAGCACACUCCACAUACUAUAGUAAUCUUUGUAAGACCUAAAGUUUUUCCUCCUAAACUUUUUCUCAUCCUAGGAAAAGCUUUUCUUUUGGUACUUAUCCACUCUGCCACUAUUUGUAACCAUCUGUAAUCCAGGCCUCUCCCAUUACCAAGUGAAGUUUUUAGACUUGUUAAAUACUAUACCUCUUCAGCUCAAAUGGCUCCCAAAUCUAUUAAUUGCUGGAUGAAAUUUUAAAAUCAAUUUUUUUUUACCUUGAAAUUUGCUAUAUUUGCUCGGGAAGUUAAUUACAUUCCAAAACAACCAAAAAUUAAGCAACCAGCAUCCAAUUUUACCCCUUAUUUCCCAGAUACCACUUCUUUCAUCACUCAGAAUCCAAAAGGGUAAGGUUGUAAAUUUGCAAAGGCGUUGACACGUCCGUCUACCGUACGGUCAUGGCCGUUACUAAACAAAUAUUUAUUUGAAUGGGACUCCUUAGAUUGUUACAGAUAGACGUUGGCACCUGGCCAAAAACAACUUUGAAAAUCAAAUUUCGCAAUCUGGACGUAGCAGAACAGAAGGAAUAACAUCAGUUCAAUCAGUCCACAGUUCCCAGUUAUCAGUCAUUCAGUCUCAGUCUCUCAGCAGAACACAACCUUAAUAGUGCAUCACUACCCAAAAAAUAUAUUUUUUUAAAACCUUAAUUCUACUUGAAUUUUUCUCCCCCCAUUUCCAUGGCCUCCUUGAAUGCAGAACCAAAUUGAAAAAGAAAAGUAUUUUUCACUUUGGUCUUUCCUUUCUCGCUAGUGGGUUUUUCUGGGUUAUAUGUAUUUUUGAAAGUUUAGAUGGAAAAUUUAGCUGAGAAGAGCAAACAGAGAGAUGGGUCUUCAUCAGACUUGCACAUUGAUUCAACGUCUGAGUCCAAAAACAGCAGCACGUAUUCGAGUAAAUCGAGUUCUGAUGCAUCCUCUUUUGAAGCCAAGGCGAGAGACUGUGCUUCUUCACCGGUUCCUAAAGGUUGGCCUCUUCCCAAGCCUCCGCCCACCAAGAGUUUCAAAAUUGACGAAGACAAACUCCAAACCAAGGAUGAUGAGAAGAUCAAAUUAAGGAAAUUUGGUUCCAGAGUUUCAGGUCUGUCGUCAUCUUCUUUUGAUUAUCUCUCCUUUUCUUUUUCUUUUUUUUUUUCCCAGAAAUUUUCCUUUCAUUUUCAAGAAGAAGCUUUUUUUUUUUUUUUUUUUUUUGGGAAAGAAAAAUUCUUAGCUUUUGGACAUUUCAAUGUUUAGCGCCUGAGGAAAGGUAACUGGUCUUUUAUUUUUAUUUAUUUAUUUUUUGUGUGUGCAUUGAUCUUUGUUGCUUUUAUAUUUGUUGUUGUUUAUAGGUGGGAAUGAAUAGUUCAGUUCAACCAAAAUACUAGCUUUGGUACAGUAGAUGUGCUUGAACAUUUCAAUUGAUUAGAACAUUUAAAUUAUGUCUGCCCUUACCGUAAGACAAUUCUUAACCCAGCCAAAGAGGAUUUUUUUUUUCGGUUUUAUGCUUCCUUAGUUUGAAUGGUUUUCUAGUGUUUGUCGAUUCUGGCAUUAUGAUAUAUUACUUACAACUUUUGUUAAUUUGUUUUUCUCCUGUUAUUGCUGGCUGUUAAUAUAUUGUUUCGAUUUGAACAGAUUUAGAGAUGAUGAAAGAAAAAUUUGCAAAAUUGUUACUUGGUGAAGAUAUGUCUGGAAGUGGAAGAGGGGUGUGCCCAGCAUUGGCCAUUUCAAACGCCUUAACUAACCUAUGCGGUAAUUGAUCACUUUCUGCAAGCUACCUAUUUGAGUUUUGAUGGUCUUUACAGACAACGCUUUGUAUCUGUGAGUCUAUGUAUCUCCCUGUUACUGCAGUUUCCAAUUUUUGGCACACUUGUACAAUUAACCAUGUUCUCGAAAACUUGAUUGUUGUAGCUACUGUAUUUGGGCAAUUGUGGAGGUUGGAGCCUUUGCCUCCCGAAAGGAAGUUGAUGUGGCAAAAAGAGAUGGAAUGCCUACUUGCUGUGAGCGAUCACAUUGUGGAAUUAAUUCCUUCUGUCCAAACACUUCCUGAUGGAACUAAACUUGAGGUCGUUUUUCAUGUACUUUGUUUUUCAAUUGUAUAUUGCAUCUUACUUAAAUGUUGCAGGCUUUUCAAGAAAUGCCGUUACUGUAUCACUUCGGAAUUCUAUGUUAGCAAAGUCAUUGAAUAGUUUACGUUGACACUAACAUAUUACUGAAUCAUAAUUUGUCAAGAGCAUAGAAUGCUAGACAGUUUUUCAAAAAAUUUUUGACAGGAAGUGAAAAAAAAAAAGUAUCUAUCUAUUUUGCCAUAAAAGCACGAGUUGAUGUCAUUAUAUGGUCUUCACUGUGUUUGCCUCAUAUAUCUUAUGGUUUUCAUUAUAUUUUCUCUUCAGGUUAUGACUAGCAGACCCCGAACUGAUAUACUCAUUAACCUCCCAGCACUGCGCAAACUUGACUAUCUGCUUCUCGUAAGAGUCGUUCCAGGUGAAUUGUGUUUUUGAUUUAUGUUAUGAAACUUUACUAAGUCCUUAAUUUUGCAGGAAAUACUAGACAGUUUUACCACCAGCACGGAGUUUUGGUAUGUCGAUCAGGAUGUAGAAACCCCAGAGGCAGAUGGAUCAGCCUCCUUUCGUCAAGUGAUUCAGAGACAAGAGGACAAGUGGUGGUUGCCUGUGCCCCGAGUCCACCCUAGUGGGCUUCUUGAUGAUACAAGGAAGAAGUUGAUUCACAAGCGUGAAUGUGCAGCUCAAGUUCUCAAAGCUGCCAUGGCUAUCAACAGCACAGCUUUAGCUGAAAUGGAAGUUCCAGAGUCAUACAUGGCAAAUCUUCCAAAGGUUUAAACUUUGUUACAAAGCACAAAUCCUCAUUGUUAUCUUCAUACUUGUUAUGGCAUCAUUCAAAUUACCUUUAAGUGCAUUUAUUGCUUUGCAUUUUGCUUGGCUAAUUUGCAGUUGUCCCGCUAAGGUUUAUUCUUUUUUUUUUGUUGGCAACCAUGCAAAUCGAUUACGGUGUUCAAAAUUCAUUUGCUGUGGUACCAGGCUUUGUCCAAUUAAACUUAUCUAUAGGAGCGCUAUUAUUUCUGUUGAAAGGUGAUAUGCAACUGUCUUUACUUGCAGAAUGGGAGAUCCUGUCUAGGGGAUGUCAUUUAUCGUUACAUCACUUCAGAGCAGUUCUCUUCAGAGUGCUUACUCGAUUGCCUGGACCUGUCUUCCGAGCAUGUGGCCCUAGAUAUUGCCAACCGUGUUGAGGCAUCAAUCUAUGUGUGGCGCAGAAGAUUGCGUCCCAGGAACCAGAUUUAUCAUAGCCGCUCUACUUCAAAGUCCUCUUGGGAUAUGGUCAAGGAACUGAUGAUUGAUGGAGAUAAGCGAGAGUUGCUUGCGGAAAGAGCUGAAAAUCUUUUGCUCGGUUUAAAACAGCGGUUCCCUGGCCUUAGCCAAACUGCUUUAGAUGUUAGCAAGAUCCAAUACAAUAAGGUUUAACUCUCGUUGUGUUUAAUUAUGCAAAUUCUUUUUUCCAUCAGUCGUUUGUGUUUCAUCAUUUUGGCUAUGAACUUCUCUCUUUACGACUUUUUCAGGAUGUUGGAAUGUCCAUUUUGGAGAGCUAUUCAAGGGUCUUGGAGAGCCUAGCCUUCAACAUAGUGGCACGCAUUGAUGAUCUACUAUACGUAGACGACUUAACCAGGCAGUCUGAUAACUUGUCAUCAACUCCAAGAGUAAGUAGAAUUGCUCAAAGGAAGGCUGGAAACCCAUAUGCUGUGCCCGUCUCAGGCACUCCCUGUAGAACAGCCUUCACCACUCCCAACUUUUCACCUGCACCGCGAGCAAGCUCUCCAAGGGGGGAGAGAACUCCACUUAUCAGUAGCACCAAGCUUCCUCGUCGUGGUCUUGGAGUAAAGAGGGUAUUGACAAACUAUCUGGGUGGUGAGUUGAAGGUAAAGAACUGUAGCCUUCUUCUCGAAGGCUUAAGUUCUGUUUCAAACAAAACUUCAGAAGGUACUGUUUGCCGGAGCAGCCUAGAACCUGCUGAGCAGCAGAAGGAGUUAUCUGCUUGGAAGUAGGAUGUGCCAAAUUGGUUUUCUUAUAGAUAGAAACAGAGAAAAACAAACAAAAAAAACUGUUGUUACAGAUGUGCAUUAAUUAGAAGAUUUUUCAUAGUAAAAACGUUCCGUACUCCAGCAAUCAUGUUAAAUUGAGUAUGGAAUACUUUAGCCUGUUGUUGGUUCUGCAUCUCUGAAUUUGCUGAUAGAAAGAUGUAUUCUUGAUGUGUGUCAAUGAGCCACCAAUUGUGACAAGAACGCCGAGACAUUACAGGACAUUGCAUUGUCACACACUUCAACUAGUUUGAAGGACUCUGUUCAGGGUUUUCCUUCAAGCACAUUAUUUUCGACACUUCAAGCCAAGGCCCCUGACAGAGUAAAUGAUGUCAAGUGGUGUCUAACUAAAUAUUUCAAAUCUUAAUGAAGUAGAUCAUGUUUAGUCAUCUCAAACCUGUAAGAAUUGUCGUCCCCGAAACCAAUGGCGGCAAAGAUUGUACAAACCUCUGCAGUUGGCAGUGUUAGCUUCCCCUCCCUGGCUCCCCCCUAUCCAUGGACUUGUUCUUACGAGAUUUGUUAAUAGAAUAAGCAAUACUUUUAAGCUUGUCAAAGUAGCGUUUUCACUCCAACUAGUCUGUGAACGCUGUGUUUUCUUCAUUUCUAGAGCUUGCUGUGAAGUACAUCACGUUGGAGUAUGUUGCAAUAGGAGGUCUUAGCAUCUAGAAGAAUCUGAGUAAGAAUCAAGAGGUAAGGCUGAAGCUGAAACAGAAAGUCUCGUGUUCUAUGUUUCAAUGACAUGGGACAUUUUCUGCUGCUUUUCUCCUUCUCGAUAAAUGUAAAGAGAAGCCAAAAGGAUGGUGGGAUUGUCACGUUCGUCAUCUAUUUUUACCCGGUUUUGUCUGUCCUGGAGACAGGAAUUCUGCCAAAAAGCAAAAACGAAAAUGAAUUAGAAAAGGUAAUGGGGCAUUCCGAGAAUUGAACUCGGGACCUCUCGCACCCUAAGCGAGAAUCAUACCACUAGACCAAAUGCCCAGAUGACGGGCAAAGGGUGCUGAUGAUCGAUAUUUAAGCGUUUAUCGUUAAACUUCUCUACAAAUUUUUUUUUUUUGGGUUAAUCGCGCAUAUUAAGAUAUUAUUUUAUGCUUUUCAUGUAAUUUGUGUCUUACACUUUCAAUACACACUCAAAUAAAGUUGUUUAAACUGUUAGGAUUGGUCAGCAAUUAAGGGAGAAAUCUUACGGUUCUUCUCACUGUAAGUUUCAGAAUUUAAAUUUAACAGUUAAUGGUGAAAAUAGUUGCAAGGAGGGGUGGGAGAUGAAAAAAAAACUAUUUGAUUAGCUAAGUAAUGUAAUGCAAGUAGAAUUUCAUAGGGAAAAUUAUCUAAAACGUCCCUCACAUUUUGUAAAAUGACUUUUUUCGUCCCUCACUUUUAAAAAUGUAAUUUUAUAUCCCUUACAUAUUCACAUCGGUCAAAUUUUGUCCCUAACUAGGUUUCCGAUCAUAUUUUGGUAGGAAUCCAUCACGUGCAAGGCACGUGAUCAUUUUUGAAAGGUAAAAUUGUCAAAUUAUAUUUUACAUAAUUUAAUCUAUAGUCUUUCACAUUUUAUAAAACAAAUUUUUUCGUCCAUCACAUUUUAUAAAAUAAUCUUUUCAUCUCUCACAUUUCACAAAAUGAAUUUUUCCAUUCUUCACAUUUCAAAAAAAUGAGUAUUUCAAUCCCUCACUAAUUAUGUUGUGAGGGAAACCCUAAAAAAAAAAAAUGUGUGUGAAUACAUUUUGUUUAAAUACAUGUAUAUGUCUAUUUGAUUUUACUUAAUAAUACGAAUAGCAUAGAUAUAUGUAUGUGUCAAUUUGAUUUUACUUAACAAUACGAAUAUCAUAUAUUAUACGUGAUCAUUUGAUUUCAUCUGGUAUUAGUUAGUAAAAAAUCUUGCAUUCACUGUCAAGUUGACCAAUAAAGCUAUUUUCGAUCAAAAUACAAUAAGAAUAAGUUAAAUUUGACAAAUUUGCCCUUAUAUCUUUUCAUCCAAAAAAGAAAUAGAACUUAUGAUUUAAUUAGUUAAAAAUGUUAGGUAUGAAAAUGACAAUAUUUAUUUUUAAAUCAAAUUAAUAUAAAAGAUGAAAUAUAUUAUAUGAAAAGUAUGGAGAAGAUGUAAAAAUUAUUCAAAAGGAAGAAAAAAGAUAUAGAAAAUCAUUAGAUAGAGAAUAUUAGAUUGUUUAAUUAGAUAAGAAUUUUGAACAUAAUUAACAAACAAGGGUAGAUUUGACAGAUAAGAUAAGGUAAUUGAAGUAAUUUUAUUGAUUUCUAUCAGAAUUAAGCAUUCAGUCAGGAUUCUUAUGCUGAAAAAAAUACACACAAGUUCAGACAAGUUCAGCAAAUGGAUUUUCAUUUAUCAAACACUCAAAACAUCAGAAUAUCUGAAAAAAUUCAGAUUCAACACUUUUUUAUGUUAUCAAACAGACCUUAGUCAUAAUCAUAUAAAAAGAGAGGAUAGCCCACAAGUUGGGUCCAAUUACAUACAUGUGUUUAUGUUAUUAUUAUUAUUAAGCAAAAUCAAAUAGACAUAUACAUGUGUUUAAAAAAAAAUAUAUUCACACACAUAAUUAGUGAGAAAUGAAAAAUUCAUUUUUUGAAAUGUGAGGGAUGGAGAAAUUCAUUUUGUGAAAUGUGAGGGAUAAAAAAAUCAUUUUAUAAAAUGUGAGAGACGAAAAAAUUUAUUUUAUAAAAUGUGAGAGACGAAAAAAUUUAUUUUAUAAAAUGUGGAGGACUAUAGGUCAGAUUAUGUGAAAUAUAAUUUGAUAAAUUUACCCUUAAAAAAUAAUCACUUGCCUUGCACAUAAUGGAUUCCCGCCAAAAAAUGAUCGAAAACCUAGUUAGGGAUUAAAUUUGACCGAUGUGAAUAUGUAAGGGACAUAAAAUUACACUUUUAAAAGUGAGAGACGAAAAAAGUUAUUUUACAAAAUGUGAGAAACAUUUUGAACGAUUUUUCCUUUUUUAUCUAAAGCAAAAAUUGACUUUUUAUUAAUAAGCAUAUAAAGUCUGUCCAUGGAAUGUAAAGAUUCGAAUCACUUCAAACAGAAAACUCUACACAACAAGCUAGAAUCAGCAAAAGCAAGUAAAAGGCAAUCCAAGCCCUACUGGCGUAGGUCGAUUGGUCACGGCUCUUCCUUAGGGUACGUUGUCUAGUUUCCCCCACAAGGGUUCGAGUCUCAGGUUAACGGGCUCGGAGAGAUGGGAUUUCUCUCCUCGAGUCUCAGGAGGAUUAAUCGGGUUGAAACCCGAAUGUCCCAUGUCGGGGAAAAAAAACAAGUAAAAGGCAAUCCAAGCUCCCAAUUUGAUUUUGGUUAGUGAAAACUUUCUCUAUCCAGCAACCAUAUCCCAAUUUACGCUAGUCUUGAUUCUGAGCCAUCCAAGUCUUAAAACACCACCCCAUCGAAAACAAGCCUCCUAACUUGGUCAGAGAAUGAGCUUUAGAGUUUCCAAAUUCCCACGACACAAUUCACAUAGAUCAUCAGUUUUCAUCUUUACCCUUCCCCCAACUCUUUAAUCUGUCCUACGUAUUCAGCCUUCUUCGGCAGAGCACAAUACAGUUACCAACGAAUCGAAUGCAAUUUUAAUAAUUCAUCAAAUGUCAUUUUCAAAAUUUUCAAAAAACCAUAUUCCAAUUUUUAGGUACUUGAAAGAUUUAUUAACUAAAUAUGCCCAAAACGAAAAGGAGGUCAAAGCCAUUAUCAGGUCCGAUUGUUGCCUUGGCUAAAGAGGAUGGGGAAAACUAAUGAUUCUGACUCCAAGUUUAGAAUUUAAAACUAAUUUUGGUCAAUAUAUAUUUACAAAAAAUAAAAAAAAUAAAAAAAUGAGGGGGGAUUAUAUGAAAAAUUGAGAUUUUUUUAAUCAAUUUUAAAAGCACUAUUUGUGCUUUCUAAUCUAAACACAAGCCCAUGAAAUGGUCUCUUAUGAGAGUGGAAAACAUAUUACUUCGGUCCAGUCGACGUUGGCCCAUAGAGUCUUCCUCAGAGAAUCAAGAAUUUGUUCUCGGGAUAAUUUAAGAAAUCUCCCCUGGGGUUUGCAAUAUUUUCACUCAACUCCCUCAAAGUUUACAUAAUUAAAAGGAUCUCUCUUUGUGUGAUAAAAAAAAAAAAACAAUACCCUCAUUAAUUGUCAAGUUAUUGAAAAACUCUAUGAUUUUUUUUAAUUUAUUGUCAAUCAAUAAUUCAAACUACAGUUUUUCCUGCUUAACUCUUGAACAUCAUCUUCCUCCUUCAACUAUUUUUCUUUCAAACUUAUUUAUUUGUUCUUAUCGAUCAAAUGUAUACAGUCAUAAUUAAGAAAACCACUAUAUAUAUCAACCACCCAUAUUUACCUAUUUUGGUGUGUAUUUUCAAUUCUCUCUUUUUCAUUAUUAUUAAAUAGUUUCUUUGUGCCCAUUUUUGUUUCUAUUUUUUGAUAAGGCGUUAGCAAAUUGAAAUUGUUAAUUGGCAAGUUGAGUGAUGAUUUCAUUAUUAAACUAGAUAGAGAUGAAGACAUUGACGAUGAUAAAAAAUAAAAAAAAUUAAGGAUAGGAAGUGGAAUAAGAACUAAAUAAAUAUUAUACUAUUGUGAUUGUUAUGAAAAAAAGUAUUCCUAAUAUAUUUAUAACUGCAAUUUGUUUCUAUUUUUUAUUUACAAUUAUUAGUGAUGUUAUUAUUCAUAUAGAGAAAAUUUGAUUGAUUUUAAGUUCUAUGCGGAUGGAGUAUAUUGGAUGUUGAUAUUAAUAGUAAUGAUUUAGACUAUUUUGUAUUUGAAAGGUGGUAGCCAUAGAUUGAAAUUUAAAGAUAUUGAUGAAUAUUAUCAGCUAUUAAGCAAACUUUAAUAUUGAUAUGAGAUUGUAAGCAAACUUUUAUGCAUCUGAUGUGGUGUUCGUAGUUGAUAUAAUGGUCUGUAUUGAAAAGUUUUAGAUAAAAAAGGGACAUUAAAACGAAGGGAAGUAUUUAUUUAAUAGUGAUUUGGAUGUUGAUGAGUAGACAAUAGCAAUAUUAAAUAAGAAUGAAUGAAAUAAAGACAUUGAACCAUUCUUUUUCCUUUUCUAAUUUUAUUGUGGCAUUUUUGAGAAAAGUCUAGCCUUUUGGGGCUAAAAUGUUACUUAAACAAAAAAAAUGGGGAAGAAGGUGUAAUUUUUAAAACUUAAUGGGGAGCUUUAUGUAAUUGUAAAAAACCUCAGGGGAGGUAUGUGAAAUUAUCCCUUUCUUCUUUUCCCGGAAAAGGCGUCCAGGUGUACCGAAUAAACGCGCUUUCACUGUCUGAAGAUAGAAAAAUGCGGAAUUCUUCCAUCGACAGUCGAUACAGUACCCACCGCCCUCACAACAACUGAUCCGGUCCUCCACUGCCCGCCCCAUCAGAAAAAAAGGGAAAAAAAUGUCCGACGCAGGAGUUCCGAAGCUGGCCACAACCAUCCACGUCACGGCGUUAGACGGGAUCGUUAACGUAAAUUCCCUGUUCACACUAGCUGUGUUCAUCGGACUCUCUUGGAACCCGAAGGACCCGGACAACAGACUCAACUCCGAUCCGAACUGCCAAGCCGGUCCCAAAGUCGCCGAGAACCUCGUCGCCUUCCACGUCUACUCUUUCAGCUCUUUUCUCUUCUCCAGCCUGGUCGCACUGGGACUGAAGCAGGCCAUCAGGCUGUCCCGCUCCGCCCAUUAUCGGACCAUAUUCACUUUGGACUUGGCCCACGUGAAUAAAAGUGCUCUGCGGGUCGGGUACUUGGUUUCUGCUGCCGGGUCGGCUUCCGGGUGCUUAUUCUUGAUGCUGGCUUUGAUUAAUGUGGUGCAGAUCAAGCUUGGGACAUUGUCCUGUGGGAGUCCACAUAGCUUGGGAGCUGUGGUCCCGCUUCUUAUUUUUGUGCCAAUUGCUCUUUUGAUUUAUGUGUCCAUUGUCAUCUAUGCUUUUACCCAGUAGAUCAAACUUUGAAUGUUGUGUGACAUUUGGUAAUUUGAUUUGUGGGAUUUCUUAUAGAGUUGUAGCAAAUGAUGAGGUUACUAGCACUCUGUGACUUGAUUUCUUUAGUGGGAUGGCAAUAUUUUUUGUUCCCUCCCAAAGUUGACAUAGGCAUAAUGUUAGAUAUUGUGGAGUUUGCAGAAUAUAGAUAUUAGUAUUAGAUGGCUUUGUGAUAGAUAGUAUUAUAUUGUGGUCGCAUGAAAUUGAGAGGGCAGACCUAAAAGCUUGGAAAAUGUUGAGAACCGGAGCUAACCACAUAAUUAUAGAUUCCUUGGUAGAAGUUGCGUAUUGUAUUGUUGAAAAUUUAUCAGAUUUAUUUGUGAUUUGAAAGAGUAAUCCUGUGAAAAUGAAGGGGCCCUGAAACUUGAUAAUUGCUGAAAUGAGGUGCUCCUCAUCAGACGCCGUGCCGUGGUUCCUCCUUGAAACCAUCUGAUGCAUUUCGUAUACAGAAGGAUGAUCUUGUUGUUGUGUAAUCUUGUGAAAGGGCUUAGAACUCAAACCACAAGCUUCAAGCAAUUUCAUUUCGCUGAGUGAAGUUCCAAUCUGCAUUGCAGAAUGGUUGGUAACCUUACACGUUUGUACUAUCAUCUGCCAUGCGUGGAAAGCUUUGUGGAGUAGUGUUUGCUAGUGCGUUAUAUGAUCGAACACUACCAUGUUCGAGGUGGGAGUUGUCUUAUUUUGGGUCUGUUUGUGGUUGAUUAUUUUAAUAGAUUAUAGAUUUUAAUUUUGGAUAAUCAGUUUUUGUGAUAUUUUCAUUUGCUUUUGUAUUCUGUUUAUAAUUUUUUAAAUGAUAAAAAUUUUUGGAUGAUAAGUUUUUUGCGAUAUUUUCAGUCGUUUUUGUAUUCUAUUUAUAAAUUUCGUUAACGAUCCAAAAAAUUUAAAUUUAUAAUUACUCAAAGAGCAGCUUUUACUGAUUCUAAUUAUUCUCUAUAAUCAAUUUUCAUAAUCAAAUUCUGUAAAAUCUAAAGCCAUCGAGAACAAGGCCUGUGUGAACUUUUAUCUAGGAUAGAAACAAUGUUGCUAUGCGGUUGGUAAGACAAGAAAUGCGGAGAUGUAAUGUGGGUGUGGAACUUUGAUUUGGAUCAAUCGUAUGCUGACAGCCGCUUCACUGAAGCUCCUUUCGGCAAUUUAGAAGAUCAAAAAUGGGGGUAAUGAUGACGAACGCCCUGAAUAAUUGCAGCGUGCUCGAUGCUUAAAUUUCGCAAGUUAGCCACAUAACCUUCAAGUCUUCACUCUGAUCUGAAAGUGCUGGAAUAGAAAAUGGAAGCUCCUUUAAGGUAGUGCUUACUCCACUGCUAUUUGCUGGUGGAAUUUACGUGUCAGCACUAAGGCAGCUACUCCCAUCAGUAUAAAGCGAGAAGAAUUGUUGCGGGAGCUUGCACAUCACAGAAGAAGAAAGAUGAAGGCUGCAAUGAAGUACGUUUUUGCUCUGGGAUUCCUUGUGGUUCUGGGGAUUUCCUGCUUGAAUGGAGCAGAUGGAGCUGGAGAAUGUGGAAGAUCUUCUCCAGACAUGGAAGCUAUGAAGCUGAUUCCUUGUGCAGAAGCAGCACAAGAUGCAAAUGCUCCAGUUUCUAGCGGCUGCUGUGCUCAGGUGAAGAAGCUGGGCCAGAAUCCAAAAUGCCUCUGCGCUGUGAUGCUCUCUGACACGGCUAAAAAUUCUGGGGUCAAGCCAGAAAUUGCCGUAACCAUUCCCAAGCGCUGCAAUCUGGCUGAUCGUCCUGUGGGCUACAAGUGCGGGGGUACGCCACUCUCUUCUUAUUCUCAUUUGAUUUACUACUAUUGACCGAUUUUGCAACAUUUUCCCUUCAUUUUUUGAAAAGGGAUCAAUAAAUCUCAUCUCCCGAUCCUUCGUUUCGUUUAGCUUAAUCUCAAACUAAACAUCAUGUUUCGUGCAGCUUACACAUUGCCUUGAAGUCUUGAAGAUGGAAGAAUGAAGACUGCCAGCCAUAACGUUCCGCGUAUGAACUACAUCUGCUUUGGGUAGCAUGCAUGUAUAAAACACUUUCUGGCUAGUUUGUCUAGAAAAUAGCCUAUGUUAUGUCUGAGGCAUAUGUAUGAUUAAUGAUAAUCUAUGUCAUGUUUGGGCUUAUGUUUAAUAAUAACCGGUCCAAACACCUCCUCUGGUGUUUGUAGCAAAGCUCAUGCUCACGCGCUGCCUUGCCUAUGAUCCUCUCUUAUUCUUGUGUGAAUCCAACAAAUGUGGAAUGACGAGACUCCCAUGUCCUAAUCAAUCUCUUCUCUGACGCGAUGAUGUUCUUCUCGUGCAUAACGAAGAAUCAAGUUCUCAAUUGUGAAUUUUUUGGAUGCAAGAGUGAUAGCUCAACGAGUACAAAAGAACAUAGGCACUAGUUUCUACGGUCCAGAUUCAUGCGCCCCCUCGGCCGCAAAAGCAAAAAUCCUUCUUCUUUUUUUUUUUUUUUUUUUUUUUUUUUAUAAAUAAAAGAAAAAGACAAAGAGGACCCCAUAACGGCAUUUUUGAGAUGUCUCCUCCGGAAGACACAUCUGAAAUGCAACGUCUCAGAGUAUCUUCUUGAGCUUCAGUUGUGAACUGACCACAACACAUGAAUUUUACUAUUCUGAGCCGCAAUUUUAACUGUACCAACCACAUGACAGAUUGGACAAAAUCUAACAUGGAUUGACUUGAGUUAGCAUUUAGGUGAAGGUCCCCUGGCUGCUGCUUGUUGCGGGACCAUCUAAGACACUACUGAACCUUGGAAAAUUAACUGUACAACUGUAAAACAUUUUGUUGCAGAUUCUUUCUUUUUCCAAACUGUCUGGACCGAGCAAGCAGCACCUGCUCUUGGUUCUUCCUACGUCCUAGUUCUACAUCUUAACUAGCUCUUCUUUUGUGCUAAGCUCAACCAAUUGCUUUGGUCACAAAAGCGGUUGCUUUCAUCAGAAAACCAUCUGAAACGAGGAUAACUCAACUGCUUUUGUCACAAUAGCGAUAUGGAUGAAGUGUUUGCUUAUGUGAUUUGCCGUUGUCCAGGAAAACAUGAUGUACUUCAACAAGAGAGAGAGGGAGAGAGAUAGAGAGAGAUGGUCAGGUUGUCGAUCAAACAAGAUACUUAUCAUAUACAGGACGGAAGGCUACAUUUAAUUAGCUGACACCACAACAUAGGACAGUUACAUUGAUUAGCAGAGACCAGAAAUGCUAGAAGAACGGAAUGACUACAAAAAAGUAAACAUCAACUGAAAUACAACUAGCCUACAAAGUCGACAACCAUAGCUGAUACCCUACCAUCUUCUCACGAUUCAUGAUGCAAAAGAAAUCGCGUC